rnacentral:lncRNA from 1 species
AGGCCCGAUCUCCUUGCCAUCUCGUAUUACAUGGUACCGAACUGUAGAGACACAGAGCAUGACCAAUUCCACCCAUUUAGCAUCAAAUCCCAGUCGUAACAUCAUGGACUUAAAAAAACUCCAUUCAAUUCGAUCAUAUGCUUUCGACAUAUCAAUUUUGAGAGCUGUUACCCCAAUUUUUCCUUGUCGCUUCCUCUUCAAGAAAUGCAUAAUCUCCGAACUUAUAAGAAUGUUAUCGGUUAUGGCCCGACCUGGCACAAACGCACUUUGAGCAGCUGAAACUACAGAACCAAGGAAAGACUUCAUUCGGUUGGCAAGCAUUUUGGCCACAAUCUUAUACAACACAUUACAUAAAGCUAUAGGUCUCAUGUCUGACAAUAUCUCUGGCUUUUGUUUCUUAGGAAUCAACACUAUAGAAGUAUCAUUCAAACCCACAGGAAGAGAGCAAUUGUUAAUGAAACUCAAGCAAGCAUCAGUCACUUCUUCACCAACAGUAUUCCAAAAUCUUUGGUAAAAAGCGGAAUUCAUACCGUCUAGUCCAGGUGAUUUAUCUGGAUGCAUAUCGAAAAGAGCCACUUUCACAUUAUUUUCUGUAAAGGGAGCCAGAAGCACUGAGUUUUGAUCAUCGAUAAUCUUCUUCUCCACACAAUCCAGCACUUCAAUGUUGUGACCCCCAACAGUAGCAAACAAAUGAGAAAAAUAAUGAGAGAUCAAAUCCUCCAUCUCUUCCGAGCUUGUACACCAUUGUCCGUUAGCAUUCCGAAGAAAGAUAAAAGAAUUCUUGCGCUUUCUCGCUGAAGCCACGGCAUGGAAAUAUCUAGAAUUCAUAUCCCCCUCCUUAAGCCACAUCAAUUUUGAUCUAUGUUUCCAGAAUACCUCCCGGCUAUGGAGGAGCUCGUUAAAUCGCUUUCGAGCCUCAUUAAAAUCCGCAAUACCAGCAAGAUCACGACACCCCCUCAACAGAGCCAUUUGUCUUCUACAUUUAGAAACGCGCUUUCGAAAGUCCCGCGCUAAAUGAACCCCCCCCCCCCCCCCCCCCACUUGAGUAAAUCAGUCCCACAAUGAAAAAUCUUUUGUUGAAUUGAGAGCUCAUUCGAGGAAAGCCAGCUAGCUCGAACCACAUCAGCACAGUCAGCCUCUCGAAUCCAUAAAUUUUCAAAACGAAAUCUACGAGGCCUAUGAGUAUGGAUCAAGGGUGUUGGAUCCAUAAAAAUAGGCAGAUGGUCAGAGGUAGAAGACUUUAAACACCACACUCGCGCCCCCUUGAAUCGUCGAAUCCAAGACUCAGUGGCAAGAGCUCUGUCCAGCCUCUCCUCCACCCAAUUCUUUGAGCCCCGAGCCCUUUCCCAAGUAAAUUGGUAGCCCUCCAUACCAAUAUCAAACAACCCACUAUCAGAUACAGCUUGCUUGAAGCCCUGGAGCUUCCAAUUUGGGUGUUCAUGCUGCCUUUGCUUCUCAUGAGCUGCUAAAAGGUCAUUGAAAUCUCCAAUGCACACCCAAGGAAGAGAAGAUGUAGCUGAAAGAGUACGAAGAAGAUCCCAAGACUCCCUUUGUCGACUGGAUUCCGGAAAACCAUAAAACCCCGUCAUCCUCCACCUUCCCAGACUUUGGUCCUCAACCGCCACAUCUAUACAAUUUUUAGAAAAUUUUAAUAAGCUAACUUUGUGACUUGACUUCCAAUACAAAGCCAAUCCACCACUUUGACCUGCUGGAUUAACAGUAAAUAAACAUUCAAAUCCCAAUUUUACUUUGAGACAUUCUAAUUUGUUUCUAUUGCACAGAGUUUCAAUGAGAAAAAGAAAGUUGGGUUUCUUCCAUUUGACCAGUUCCACCAGCAUUUGAACUGUCUGUGGUUGGCCCAGCUCACAGCAGUUCCAACUUAGGACACUCAUUGAUCUCGGUGGGCCUGAUUUACAAGGCCCACCGCUGGUCCGUUUUUUGAAUCUAUUGGUACAAUCAUCAAUUGGGGAGACACCUCAUCUUCACAACCCAAAAUGCUGCCUGACCCACGCUGUGAUCUUCUCAUUUUUGAAUUGUUCACAAUUAUUUCUUCUUCCAAAUCUUCGUCAGUUUCCUUACUAAAAUCAAGCUCAUUAGCUGUCACCUUAGCUAAAAACUGUGGGUAGUUUUAUACAUGAGAAAGUUGUAGACUUGUAGUAAAAAAGAACUGAAAUAAUUUGAACCGAAUCGAAAUUCAUAACCAAACUGAAAUUUAAAAUUUCGGGUUGCGUUCGGUUCUAAUUUGGGAGAACCGAUUGGUGUUAGUUCGGUUCGGUUUUUUAUCUAAACCGGACCGAAUCGUAUAGUGCCCAACCCUACUUUUCGCUGAGAAGAUGUAAAGUAAAUAAAACAAUAUUAUUUUUAUAUUUAUUAACAGAUUUAUUUCCAGUAACAAAGGGUGAAAUUUUAUUUUAGUUUCCUCCAAUACUAUUCUUUUUUUAUAAUAUUGAUUAAAAAUGAAGAUGAGAAAAGGGCUUUAUGUUAAACUAUAAAUCAUAAUAACAAACAUGCUCUUUAUUUGAUUUCUUUCAUGCAUCUUAUAUACGUUCAGUAGAUAAAAAAAAAACACGGUUCUUGUACAAUAGAUAGAGACAAAAUCUCUCACGGACUCUGUAAUUGAUGAGAAAAAAAAAAUUAACACAUGACUACAACAAAAAAUUUAUAAUCUUUUUUUUUUACAAUAGAUUAUUUUUUAUCUUAAAAAAAAUUUAUAAUAAUUUGAUAUCAAUAAAAAAAAUUAUGAUAUUUACUAAUCCAUUUUCCUUGCCUAAUGAACAACUGUACUUAUUAACAUUAUUGUUUUUUAUUUAGAAAAAUAACAACGAUAUCUUUAUGGUUUGGUGAAAAUCAUCCCGACCUUUUUAUUUGUAAAAAUAAUUACAUAAACUUAUUUUAAAUAAUUAUGUUAAAAAAAAGAAGUUUAUGUGAUAUUUUUAAAAAUAAUGAGGUCUCUGUCUAACCAUACCAUGAAACCAUGAAGAUGUCACUAUCUAACUUUCCCUUGUUAUUUAUUGAGGAACGAAAACUUACCGAAUGAAAGGGCAAAAGUAGUUAAUUUUCUGCAGGUAGAAGGGUAAAAAGGUACUUUUGCGCCAAUACUAAUACAAACAUUAAUCUAACGUUGGAGUGACGAAUAAAAUAAGGGAGGGAUCAUGUUGCGCGUGGACAAAGGGACAGCAGUGAGAAGCUGUAGGGAUUUUUCAGGCAACAGCUCAUUGGAAUUGGAUCCUAUAUUUAUUUUUUAAAUUUAAUUAAUUGAAAAUGCGAGAAAGCGAAUGGUGUGCGCACUGCGCACCUCCCCCAGCUGUUGGGUCAAGUCUAUCCAUUUUGAUACUCCACCACCAGUUAUAUAAUAUAUUAUAAUAUACUCCAUAAUUAUUAUAUAGAUGGAUUAUGCAUACCAGCAAUAAUGAUGGAUUAUUGAAAUCUAUGCAUCAAAAGAAAGUUUUUAUUUAUAUAUUCUUAUUGUUAAUUAUUUUUUUUCUGCCAAAUUAUAUAAUUCAUCGUUAAAAAUGGGAGAGAUAAUAUCACAUUUGUAUAGAGUUCUUAUUUAAUGAGGAUAUCUUUAUUUUAAUAAAAUAAAAAUGUCAUUAUGUAGAUAUAAAUAUUCAUUAGAAUUGGAUAUUUAUUUAUUUUUAAAUUUAAUUAAUUGAAAAAGUGAGAAAGUUGAAAAAGUAUGCGCAUUAAACACCUCCCCCAAUUAUAUAGUCAAGUCUAUGCAUUAUUGAAUGCUAACGUAUUAAUAUACAGUUUUGAGCAUAUACAAGAGAUAAGUUAUAGUUUUUUUUUUGGUAACAAAUUAUAUAAUUCAUUGUUUAAAGUGUGAGAUAUGUAUGUAUGUGUGUGUGUAUAAAAUCAAAAUCUUUAUAUAUAUAAUUAUUUUUUAAUAAAGGCACCUUCAUUUUAUUAAAAAUAUAAGUAAAUACAUAUUUUUAUGCACAAGCAGCUGUGUUUUUUUGUUUGUUAAUAUAUUAGAACUUGUAUUUUUUUUUAUCUAUUAGUAGUUCUUUACCUUAUUAAAAUAGAGAUGUCCUCAUCAAAUAAUUAUAUUAUAAUAAUAAUAAGAAGAAGAAGAAGAAGUUAUUAAUACAAGAAAUAAAAACAUACGCUCUACUACAUUACAAGAUGAAAUAUACUAUGUUUUACUUGUCUCUUAGUUUAUCCUAACUUUAAGUACACUAUAUUCUACUCAUUUUUUAGUUUAUUCAUAACUUUAAUAACAUAAGAAAUCUCUUAUUAAAUAAUGACUAUCUUUCUCUUUUUCUCUCGAUAAAUAAUAGCUCUAAGGGCUUGGCUACGUUAAAUUUACCUUUGCUCAGUCUUAUAUUUACAUAUAAAAAAAUCCUUAAUAUAUUGAACUAAACUCUUUUAAUAAAAAAAUAUUAAGUUUACUUCUCAACAUAUAAAUGCUGAAUAGAUAUAUCAUAAAAGGGGUAGUGAUUCGAUCGUAUCAAAAAUUUCAAACAUGAGAUGGGCACACUCAAAUGUCCACAGGCAUAAAUAGUUAAUUAAAUGUGUUAGGUAAAAAGCAUUAAAAAAAUUCACGGUGUUAAAUUUCCAAUAUCCAAUAGUCAUACAGGCAUAAUAUUAAUAGAAAUAAAAUGAUAUUUCAUGUUUUGUUAAAAAAAAAAAAUUAAAAAAAAAAAGUAAAAACAAAAGAAAAACCGAGAAAGAGAGAGAGAGAGAGAAAGAGCGUGUAAGAAAAGAACAGAAAAAGAGGCAGAAGUGGUCGUGUCGGCUUCGACCAAACAUUGACGAUAUAUUCAUUCACAUAUUUUUAUUGCAAUUCAUAUUUUAAUAAAAAUAUUCAUUUACUUCCAUCUCAUUCGAUCUGCUCGAUCCACAGCCCUAAUUCAGCUCGCAGGUACCCUCUUGCUUUUCCUUUCCUAUGCUUCAGAUUUAGUUUCUUUUUAAAAUUUUCUAGUUCCUGCUUGGGUGCUGAGAAAAUGGAAGAAAAUGAUGGGUUUUUAGUGAAACCUUGUGCUGUUAUUAAUUUAUUUGAUUGCCCAUUACAUGUUUUUGCGUUUUGAGUGUAGAUAUGUUGUUAAUUAGUGUAAGCAAGUCCUGGUUUUCACUCAACCGAAAAGUUUUUCUUUCUUUUUUUUUUCGGUUUUUAUUAUUAGAUCCUAAAUAAUUUCUUGCUUUGUUCAUCUCAUGUGUUUGUGUUACUUUUAGUGAAUUAUUUUUGUAAAAUCACGAUCUGGGUUUUGCCCCCUUUUUUUGCAUUGAAAGUUGUGUACUUCUUUUGUUUUUUAGUAUCCUAUAUUUUGAUUAUAUUUAUCAACUUUUUUCAUGAAAAUUUGCUGUUUUUAUGCUAGAAAGUGAUGAAAAGUUUCAUUUCUGUCACUUUUUUUUUUUUCAGAGGUGCAUAGUUAUUUCCCUGACAAAUUGGCGUUAAAGGUUUAAAAGCCAGCUUUUUUUGGCUCAUUAAAGGCUUAAAGCAGGGCUAGACUGACACAUUAAAGAGAGUAACUAGAGCCGUUGGUUAGAUAAAUCUGAACAACCUGUGACAAUAACAAGUCAUAGAAGUAAAUGCAGCAUUUUAAGGCAAUUUUAGUUGAUGCUUUUUGUUGCUGAGAAUCUUGUAGUGGGUUUGUUUUCAGUGCAUAGUCCCUUUUAACUUGGGGCUUUUGUUUGUAGGUUGAUCAAGUGACUCUUUAAGGGUUUGUUGUGCUUCUGUUAUGGCAUUUGCGGCUGCGGCAGCGCCUUUGAAUCAUGCCUCUGGAGGUCCCCGUACAGGUUUGCUUCAAUAUUUGCGAUUUAUUGAUGAUUCAUUAGUGUCAAAUGAUGUACUGUUCAUUGGCGUCUUUUUGUAUUGGUUGUAUUAAUUUCAAAUUAGAGAUGGAAUCUGACUGAGGCAAACGGGUUACAGGGUUAAUGUUUGUUUGCACCUGAUGUAGUCUAUGACUUGCACCAUGGCUUAUGUAACUACAAUUCUUCUGCAGUUUCUUAAUUGUUGCAGUUAAUUGCGUUUGGUUGUUCUCAAGAACAGUUCUUUGAUUCUGAGAGCAUGCUUUUAUCAUAAUCUUUUCAAUAUAGAAGCUAGAAGAUUCUUUUGGGUACUCAGCACACAGUAUCAGAUGAUUUGCAUUUGUUUUUCUUAGAUAUGAAAGUUAUUAUUAUUCUUUUUGAACUUUUGAAUCCUAACCGGACCAAUAUUGUGUGACAGUGCACUUUAACUCUUACGAAUUUAGGGUUUUGAACUUUUGCUUUGAUUUUGAUCUGUACCCAAUUUCAAGGUGGCUGAUAAAUGAACGAAUUAUAAAAUCCUUGAUAAUAAGGUAUAUUUUGUUGGCGACUGGGAUGGUAAUUUUGUCUUCAUGUCAUCGCAGUGUGUUGUAUUUUAUGAUCUCAUUGAUAUGUUUGGGCGGUUUGUGCUUUGCUCACUUUCUUCCUGUCCCAGCUUUAUUUUCUGCUUACUUUGUCCUUUGUGUUCACUUUAUAGGGGGAUCCAAUGAUGCACUGUAUAGGGAAUUAUGGCAUGCCUGUGCCGGACCUCUUGUAACCCUUCCUCGUGAAGGGGAGCGAGUUUAUUACUUUCCGCAAGGUCACAUGGAACAGGUUUGUUGACCUUUAACUGGAAUCUGUCUCUGUUUUAGUGUUCUUUUAGUUUAUAUGAGUUUACUAUUAUAGAAUGACAAAUAUGACUACCCUAUUUAAAAUUGCCAAACACAAAAAAUGGAAAAAAAAUAAAAGAAAAGAAAAUGACCAAAGUGUAGAAAACACUCAAAUUUUUUAACAGAAAAAUAUAAUGUGAGCUUAUGCAUUCCCCUGUUUGAGAGUUGGUAAUUUAUGUUCCUCAGACAUGAUUUGCUUUAUUUCAUUGGUCUGGAAAAUAUCGAUCUAUCACCAUUUGCAGGUUAAUAAAUUUUUUCUUUCAAUGUCGUAGGGACAAGAAGGUUUCAAUCAUAUUAUAACUAAUGCUAUUUUUGAAAUUUUCAGCUUGAAGCAUCGAUGCAUCAGGGGUUGGAGCAGCAAAUGCCUUCAUUUAAUCUGCCAUCUAAAAUUCUGUGUAAAGUGGUCAAUGUUCAGCGACGGGUGAGUUAUCUCAUGAUCGUUCUAUUAUUUUUUGGGGAGCAUGUCAAUGUUCUUAAGCUCUGUUAAAAAGUUGUUUCCAUUUCUAAGUCCUUACUUCAGUUGCUCUUUUUACUUUGACUGUAGGCUGAACCUGAAACGGAUGAAGUUUAUGCACAAAUAACUCUGUUGCCUGAACCUGAUGUGAGCUUUCUUCCUUUUGCUCUAAUCUUUUAAUUAGCUGAUUUAGAAACUACUAAAUUUGUUAGCUUGUUAUGGUUGCUUGCAAUUCUUACAGUUUUCUUUCUUUCAUGUCUGUCUGUGUUAAUUUCACCAGCAAAGCGAGGUUACCAGCCCAGAUCCCCCCAUCCCAGAGCCUGAAAAGUGCACCGUUCAUUCAUUCUGUAAGACAUUAACUGCAUCUGAUACGAGCACCCAUGGUGGGUUCUCCGUUCUUCGUAGACAUGCAGAUGAUUGUCUCCCCCCAUUGGUUAGCUUCAACUGUGAAUCCAUCAUUUUUGUGUCAGAUACUACAGGAUGAUAUGUUGUAUUUAUAACUUGCUUGACCUGCCUGUUUCCCUUGAUCAUUUCAGGAUAUGUCCCAGCAGCCACCUUGGCAGGAACUAGUUGCAACUGAUCUGCACGGGAAUGAAUGGCAUUUUCGGCACAUUUUCCGAGGUUUGGCUUCAACUUCUCUGACUGGAUAUAACACUUUGUUGCUUAAGUUGAAGCAGAAACAUUGCUGCAACAUGCUUAUUUUUAAAGUUUGCCAGGUUUAUGUAUUUUGUUAAAUAUUGUAUCCAAUGUAUUAUAAAUUACACAUGGUUUCUGGAAAUUUGAGGAUUUUGAUACAAAGUCAAGGUUUCGUAUCACAGGUCAACCAAGGCGUCACUUGCUCACCACUGGGUGGAGUGUGUUUGUUAGUUCCAAGAAAUUGGUAGCAGGCGAUGCAUUCAUAUUUCUGAGGCAAGUACUGGUAUAUCUAAUACGAAAUGAAGUAUGUUUUGUUUCGUUGCUUUAUUUCCUAUAUUUAUCGGGUUCGCUAUUGAUAACUGUUUCAGAGGGGAAAAUGAGGAGCUGCGUGUUGGGGUAAGGAGGCACAUGAGACAGCAGACAAAUAUGCCAUCUUCAGUUAUAUCUAGUCAUAGUAUGCAUCUUGGCGUACUUGCAACUGCUUCUCAUGCCAUCGCAACUGGAACACUCUUUUCAAUCUUCUACAAACCAAGGUUUUUUCCUUUGUGCAAUUUGAAGUUUGAAAAGUGAAACAUUUCCAAUUUCUGAAUUGAGAGAUAGAGUAAAACUUAGGACUAAAUGCCCAAAGCUCAAUGUAAAGACAUGAAAAAAGUUUUUACAAGAUGUUGUGUUACAAACAUUGAAAUUUGCCAGAACUUCUAUAGUUUGGGCUUUUUAAAAAAAAAAAUCCCUCUAUGUUCUAUCAUGCUAUGUAUUUUUCGAAUUAUCAUUAUUAAUAUUUCUCAAUAAAAUAUUUUUGACAUAAAAUAUAAUUAUGUGCCAGAACUAGCCGGUCUGAGUUCAUUGUAAGUGUUAACAAGUAUCUUGAAGCUAAAAGACACAAGCUUUCUGUUGGGAUGAGGUUCAAGAUGACAUUUGAGGGUGAGGAAGUUCCUGAACGAAGGUAACCUUCCUUUCUAAUUUGUUUUUGUGGAAGAGGAAGUUAAACAACUUUUAUUAACCAAUUUUAUCAUUGUUCCACAGGUUCAGUGGUACUAUAGUUGGAGUUGGGGAUUGUAGAAGUUCAGUGUGGCCAGAUUCAGAGUGGAGAUCCUUAAAGGUUAGCAAGUUCUUAUCCUAUAAACCAAGUUAGUUUUGAAUUCAUUCAAAGAAUUUACUAAGGUGGCCAUUACAAUAUUCCAGUCAGUUUUAUCCACACUUUUAUACCGAUCAAAUUAAAUAGUGGCUUUUAAAAUUACUAAUGUUUGAGAAGAUUAGGUGUUUGUUUCCUUUGUAACCGGUCAAAUAUUUCUGUGUUCUGAAUUUUGGCGGGGGAAACUCUGUGGCCUGGUUGACUUUAUCAUGUUUCAAUUUUAUGUUAGGUUCAAUGGGAUGAACCUUCAUCAAUCUUGCGACCAGAAAGAGUAUCAUCGUGGGAAUUGGAGCCACUUGUUGCAACUACAACUACUACAAAUGCUCAACCAUCACAAAGGAACAAACGGUCACGACCACCUGUUUUACCAUCGCCAGCUGCAGAUAUCUCUGUCCUGGGUAUUAUAGCUUUAUAUAUGAUGCAUCUUGUUCUUAUUCUUCUUUACUUCUGUUGCUAAUCUUGUCUUUCUGCAUUAGGUAUGUGGAAAUCUCACGUUGAAUCUUCAGCUUUCUCAUACUGUGACUCACCGCAAGGACGCGACCUCUAUCCAUCACCUAAGUUUUCCACUGCCACGAAGGGCAACCAUUUUGGUUUGAGUGGAAAUAAGUCACUGGCUGCUGUUUCCAGCAACUCAAUGUACUGGCCCAACCGUGCAGAAAAUGUAACAGAAUCAUUUGCUCCAGUUGUGAACAAGGAAUCCAGUGAAAAGAGACAGGGCAAUGGGAACACCUGCAGGCUAUUUGGCAUUCAGCUCGUUGACAACUCGAAUGUAGAAGAAGCUUCACCUGCUUUUACCAUGUCUGGAGCAAUGGGGGAUGAUCGAGCAAUUCCAUGUUUAGAUGCAGACUCUGACCAGCAUUCUGAACCAUCAAAUAUUAAUCGAUCUGACGUUCCUUCUGUAAGUUGUGAUGCAGAAAAAUCGUGCCUGAGAUCUCCUCAGGAGUCUCAAAGCAGGCAGAUUCGAAGUUGCACAAAGGUAAUAUGGUUGCUUUCUGUUUUAACUUUCCUUUCUUAACAAGCUAGCAUGCAUUAGAUAAGAUCUCAGAAAGGGCUUUAUUUUCCUUUUGAAAUUUUAGUUUUUGUCUGCCUGUCAGGCAUCCUCUCUGUCUAUCUCUCUCUCUCUGUGCUCAACUUUUAAAAUUUUUGCUAACCUGGGAAAAUUAAAUGAACUAUAACUUAGUGGAAGUGCAUAUAUUUUUCUUUUGACCGUUUUCACACAACUUCCUAUGUGUCCCUCCUACUCAUAAGGCAUGAGCGUCUUGGUGAACUUGUACUUUUGUAGUUUGUCUUGCUACAUGCAUUUUGCAACGUUUAAUUGAGUAUCUGUUUCCAGGUUCAUAUGCAAGGAAUUGCAGUUGGGAGGGCUGUUGAUUUGACACGAUUUGACUGUUAUGAAGACCUUCUCAAGAAACUGGAGGAGAUGUUUGACAUUGAGGGAGACCUGUGUGGAUCAACCAAGAAGUGGCAAGUGGUCUACACUGAUGAUGAAGAUGACAUGAUGAUGGUUGGAGAUGAUCCAUGGCAGUAAGUUUGUUUAAUGCCUCUUCUUAUUGUCUGUGUUUUACAGUCUCUUCCAGUCUCUUUCUUGUGCUAUAAUUUCAGCCUAAUACGACUACUAAAUAUCAGUAAGAUUUGAAAAGAUGUAUUGCUCAUUGUGCAGUAUAAUUGAAAAUUAAUAGAUUGUCUAAUUCACAUGCUUUCUCUCUCUCUGUGGUGCUAUAUAUUGAGUUUUUUUUCAUCAUUUUGAUUUUAAAACUAUGAAGAAUGGUAAUGUGUAUAAGAGAUCAUCAGCUGGGUUUUUUGAAGAAUGAAGCAUGAAAUCAUGGUUGUUGCACUGGUUGCUUUUUUGUGAUACACCAUGCAAAAUAAGUGCAAUUUUAAACUCAGGUUGGACUUGAGGUCAUGAAUGUGGUUUCCCCUUGGUCUCUUAUCUUGCAUUCUGAUUUAUGUCAUGGCCAGUUUUGCUUUGAAUUGAAUUUAAACUUCCUUGAGAGUAGCAUAAGAAUUUAAAGUUCCUUGAAAGGAGGAUAACACACUUAAUUUUUUGGUAAAACCAUUUGCAUAAAUGGGUGAUGAAAGUUAAACAUUUUGUAGUCGCACAGUAAUUUGUUUACAGAUUGCAAAUGCAAACUCUUAUAUGCUACUAAUUUUGUUGUUUAAAUUUCUUGUAUUUUACGGCAGUGAGUUCUGUAGCAUGGUGAGGAAAAUUUUCAUCUACACAGCAGAAGAAGUAAAGAAGCUGUCGCCCAAGGUAAAACUUCCAGGUAACGAGGAGCUCAAUGCAGGCAAGCCAGAUGUUGAAGUGGUUGUCAACACUGAUGAUCGGUCAUCUAUUGUUGGACCUGGGUGUGCUGAUAUGCCUAUGCAGUAAGAAAUCAGCAGAGUAUGGAGGUAAUGGUAAGUUGACUGCCUUUAAGAUUCGCCCUAUAGUAGAAUCAUGAGGUUUAGAGAGAAGCAGCCUUUAUAGUCGACAUGCCGUCCAAAGAGGGAACUUGCCUUAAAGCAUAAGAGUUUGGGUGUUAGAAGUUUCUUAUUUUGCUUUUGCCAAGGGAAUCUAAUAGAUGCUUGCUUAUUCAAAGUCCGGGUGAACGUGAAGUUUGUUGCGUCAUAUCUGGCGCCCAGCUUAUGAGACAGAACUUGUUCCUUCUCAUUUCUUGUUUCGUCUUUUUUUCUUUUUUUCCUAAUAUAUCUUCUAUACACAAGACACGGUAACAUUUUCCCUUUGUAUAUAAGUAUAUAUAGUCUUGCUCUCUCCUGUUUUGGCUCGCAUGUAUAUGUACCCCUCUCUGACUCCUUCCCUGAAAGAAUCUUUUCAGCUGAAUUGAUGGAAGAUUUUCUUGGCCAAAUUCUUUUAGCAGUAUGGGUUGUCUUUGUAUGAAUGAAUGAAUGAAUGAAUGAAUGACAUCUUUAAUUUCAUUUUGAUAUUCAUGUUUUCACUACUGUCAUAUACAGUCGUUAGUGUUGGAAAUAAAAGUAUCAUAUUGUAUGUACAUUUUUUAGAUAAUGAUAAUGAAUGGUUCCCUUAUGUAGUGAAUUUUGUAUUUUACUGGCUUUUAUUUGCUAAUUGCAGGCAUAAGUAAUUGAGUGGAAUUUGAUUGUAAAUGAUGAUUUGUAAGUAUUGCCUUGUAAGAGAGAGAUCUGUUUAAGGGUGUGUGUGGGAUUGAGGUUAGACAGUGUAACUUAAAAGUUAUAGCAUUAAAGUGUUUGGUAAAAAUUAGUUGCUAUAACUUGUAAGAUAUGUUAAUAUAAUUUUUUACUUGUAUAAUGAAAAAUUUAUUAUAUAUGUAAUAAUUUAAUCAAAAUUAUUAUUUAAAUUUUAUAUUUAUUAUAUAUUAUUAACUUUUGUUUAAUAGUUAUAAUUUUUUUUUUCAAAGCAGUUGUAGUUUAAAAGUUACAACAUCUCAAUUUUAAACGGGGCUUAAGUAAGGUUAUCAUCCUUUUCAAGUACUCUAUAAUUAUGUUGAAAUAACAAACGUUUAUAAGAAUUACGAGAAUUAUUGAAGCAUAACAUUUUAUUUCAUUAAUUAAAGAAAAUGAUAUUUUAACUAUUUUUCCGUUAAAUAAAAGUGGAAAACAAAUGAGUUAUUUAUUCAUCAUUAUUUUAAAAUCAUUCUCGAAUAUGAAUACAAUCUACCGCCACAAACUUUUAUAAUGAGUAGCUCUGACUAGUGGGCAUGCAACGGUCACAAAAUUUGAAAAAGCAUAAAGUAACGAUCAAUCAAAACUUUUCAUUUUUAAAAAAAAUGUCACAAGACAACGCUCUUACUUGAAGAAUUUUAAAUCUAUAUGCAAGCACAAUUAAUUAAAUUCAUAACUUUGCAUCUUCUUUCUUUUGCCGUCUCACUGCACUCACAUCAAGUUCCAAAGACACCAUGAAAAUGAUAAAAGCCAUGAAGAAGCUCAAGUUCUGGUCAAGAAAGAAGAGAAAAAAGAAGCAUAAUUACGAGCCUUACACCUACUACCACCCCCCUGCUCCUGCUCCAACAUACCAUCAAUAUUAUUGCUGCCCCAACAGCUCUUCACCUCAGCCCCAGCCCCAGCCCUCGGCACCGCCCUUGCCUCCGUGGCUCGACUACAAUCAAUCCCAUGACCUUGCGUUUGCAAAUGCAACCGAAUCCCAGUACUCAUCACAUGAAAUUGUCGUCGAAACAAGCUCUGUAUUAAGUGCUCCAGCAUUGCCUAGUGACAGUGGUAGUUCUUGUUCCUAUCAGCAGUACAUGGUUCCAAAUCCUGUGUACGGAUUGCCUGUUGUGAAAGCAACACGAAGAGAACAAUCUGCUGGGAUUUUUGGGUGUGUUUUCGAAUUUGGUGCUAAUUUGAUUCGCUGCUUCUGUCCUUGUUUUCGCGUUCGAGAAGUUUAAUCAUCAAUAUGCUUGGUGCUAUAAUUUAUGUAUGAAAAUAAAGAAAAAUCAAGAAUGUGUAUGCUUGGUUUGUAUCGCUUUCUCCUUUUUUUUUUCAACUAUAUAUAUUAUAUUCAUUUUUUUAAUCUCUAUUCUCUUCCCAAUUUUUUGUCCUCAAAUUAAUGUGUUAAAUUUUAGAUUUUCAAUUUCAAGUUUUUAGUAUAUGGGACGUGUAAUGUUAAGUUCAAACAAUAUGGAGUGAAUCACUUAGAAAGGAGAAAAAACUAAUAAAAACUCUUAAAAAGCAAUAGAAAACUGAGAAAAAGCAAAAUAAUUAAAAGUUGGGAUAUUCAUCAUACUUGAAGUCCCGUUAGGCAGAAAUCCUCAAAACAAAGAUUAUAAUCAGUUUUUUCAUAGCAGUGAGAGAGGAAAGGAUAGUUUAUGAAUAUUUUUUCAAAAAAUAUUCAAAUAUUAAAAUAAAGUUCAAAAUAAAUAAAAGAUGAAGAAGCCAGCCAAGGCUUGACUUUUGAGUAACUGAGGUAGGUAAAAAUUUUCAUAGUGGCAUUAGUGUGGUUUCCCCUCUGGCAAAUCCAAAAAGUCGAAAUACUCUAAAGUCCUCACAGGGUCACGACUUUUUAAUCGAAAACCCUUCUGCCUGGAAGCAGGUCUGUAUGGAUAAAGCUCAGAAAGAUCAGCCCUGGAAUAAUAAUGAAAUGAAGUUCCACACCUGAGAACAAAUGAACAAUGCAGUGAAAGGAGAAGGAAAAAAAGGAAAAAAAAAAUUGUGGCUAAGUAAUCAUUUUUACAGUAGUAAUUUAGAAUUAUAUAUUCACAAUCGGGUCACAAAGCAAGCGAGAAUUUUCGAUGGUCACAAUAAGAUAAAAUAAACUAUUAAAUCAACAUUCAAAAGUAUAUACUUGAAUCAAAUGAACCAUGAGAUAUCAGGCUCCUUGUCAACUAGAAAGUGACAUUUUGAAGGAGAAACUUGAAGUGUGUGUGUGUGUGUAUCUAUAUUUUCUUCCUUUAUGAUUAUUGAAUGUUCUUAUACUGAAUUUUCUUAACCUUACAUGCUACACAUCAUAAUCUAUCUUAAAUUAAACCUAAUCGAAGCCCACAAAAUCAGCCUGCAAUAUUGUUAGCCCCAUAUUCAGAAUAAGAACAACAAAAUUAAAAGAUAAAUAAAUCCAAUAAAUUAAUUUGAAUACUGCAACAUAAAACUAACCGGCAUAUAAUUAUGUUGCAACCGCGAAACUUUUCGACAUAAUACCCACAAUUGGGACACCUCUUCCAUUUCAUUUCCACAGCUAAUUUCUUCAACUUGAUGUCAUCAUUCUCGUUCUCAUUCAAGUUCUGAAAAUCUUCACACUUCAUCUCUGCAUGCCAAGGAACCUUACACUUGGCACAAAACAUUCUGUUACAAUGAGGGCAUGUUGAUUCCUUUAUAGCCAUCCCUGAUCCUCCAUCAUCAAUCAAAAGGGCAGAGCAAUCUUUGAAAGGGCAAUAGAACUUUUGAUCCCCAGGAAUCACAGCCUCACACAAAGCAUUGCCCCAUCUGUGAAACACUUGUUGCGGGAGUAUAUUGCGACAGUACUCGGGCUCUAACACGCCUUGGCAGCCGGUUACCGGGCAGCCGAUUGUUGUAAUGCUUUCUUGCAACUUUGAGGCCACGUACUUAAUUAUGCAGUCGGUACAAUAUGAAUGAGAGCAACCCUUGAUUCUAAAGGACUCAUUGGGCGACUUGGAUUCCACGCAGAUCUCACAAACAAAAGAAGGAUCUUUUUUUUGGGAAUCUGAAGGCUGCCCGUUUUCAGCCACUGAAUGAUUUGACAAGGGUUUCUUUCUUUUACCUAAAGGGGUGUUGUGAGGCAAAAGGUUGAGCACGUGCAAGUCGUCGUCGUCGUCGAAGUAGUCAUCAAGAUUAAUGAAGAUUUGAGAAGCUUUGAUGGGGCCCCUCUGGUCAUCAAUGUGUUGCCCAACUGUAAUCGCACUUCUCUUUCUUUUGCCCUUUUGCGAAGUUGAUUUAAUGAAGAUUUCGUCUUCUUCUUCAAGGUCUAAAACCUCAAUCUGGGCAAUCUUCUGUGCCUUCAUUUUUUUGGCCUCACUCUUACAGUGAUCAAACCCUAUGUGUAGGUUUUGUGUGACAAUGGGACGGAGAGAGUGUAUAUAUGUAUCAAAUGUAUUGGAGAGAGUGUAGAUUGAGUUUAAGAUAUGGAUUUAUAUUCAUAUUCAAUUAUAAGUCUUUUAAUUUUAAUUUAUUUUUAAAAGUUUUAGCCAUCUAUUGUUCACUAUUUCUACAAUCAAAUUAAAUUUAAACCUAACUCACUAAGGGUACGUGACUAACUGACUACAUUACAUGUUUGGCAAAUUUUUCUGUUCACAUUGUGGUAUAACAUAAUACACUAUAAUGCGGAUAGUUCCACGUUAAAUAAAUCUAAGGAUGGGUUGGGAUUGGGCAAUACGACACUGUUUAAAUUAGUUUUUUUUUGCAUUUUUUAAUUAAAAUAAUAAUAAAUAAAUAACAAUAUAUAAUAUUAAAUAAUCUUAUAAACUCAAAUAAUCUUAAAAUAUUAAUUUAAUAUACAUAUUAAAAUAAAAAUAUUAUUUAUAUAGUACAGUCUAUAUUACAUCAAAUAUAAUAUUACAUUACAACUUAAUAUAAUAUAAUGUAAAUAUGCAGUACAACCUAAUGCAAUACAAUACAGUGUGUGAUACGGAUUCUAAAACCAAAAUCAAACUUAUAAGAUAAAAUAUUCACCCCUUUUAUAUGAAAUUUAAUUUUUUUUAAUUUUAUUUGAGUUUAAUUAUAUUUUUUAGUUGCUAUUAGGAGCUUAGCCUUAUAGUCCCAUCAGACUCCUUUCUCCUUCUCAAUAUAUAAUUCCUAAAUCUUUGAAUGAAAGUUGUCUUUUCUCCCACUAGUUUGUCAGUGGAGCUGACUUCUCAUCCGCUAACUUGUGAAUGAAGCUACUAUUUCCCUAAAUUUCUAAGAAAUUUACUGACAUUGAGCAAUUUCUAAGGGAUAAAUUCUGGGGUGCAUUAUAGUAGUACUGAGGUAGAGAUAGUUCUUAUUAAAAUUCUAAUUGUAAACAUCUCAGUUUUAUUGUAUCCCAAAAAAAAAAAAAUUUUGACAGCGAACAUUUCAAUUUUUAUUUUUUCCUAAAUAUUUGUUGCCAUUUUAUUUUAUUUUUAUUUUAUUUAUUCAGACAUGAUAUGGAUAUGGGUAAAAAAACAUGCACCAUAAUGGAUUCAGAGCAAGUACGAAAGCAACAUAAUAUUGAAAAGAAGGAAAAUUUUGGAUUUGAUUCGGUAGAAAUGGAGCUUAUUAAUUAAUAAUAUCAUUAAAUUCAUUCAAUUUGACAUUUAAAAGCACAUUAUUUUAUUCCGUACCCAACUCUUUCCUUAAUAUCAAUCCAUUCCUUUCCUCUUAUACUCAAUUUCCUUCAUGCCUCCAACACUAAGUUAAAUCUUUCAUUUACUCCCAAAAUUCUAAACAAAAUUCGCAAAACAAUAUAAAUAAAUCAGCGCAUCCAAAAAUUCGUACAAAAAUAAAAAUUGUAUUUAAUUUUGUAUAGCGAGCCCAAAAUUUCUAUUUCCAGAACAAAUCUUAGGCACAAAAUAAUGGAGGCUACAAAUUAAUGCACAAAAAAGCAUAAUUUUCACACCAGCUAAAUCCAUAAUUUACCUGUUUUUCAUUUGAUGGACAAAGAGCUGCAUAUAUAUAUAAUUAUAUAUGGAUUCGAUUUCUAAGAAUGCAAGCAAUAUAUAUAUGGAGAUCCAUUGGGUAACCAAAAAUUAAGAAUAAUGAAUUUUAUUAUUAUUAUUAUUUAAAAAUGGAGACCACGUAUAACUUGGAAGCAGUAGCCGAUCGAGAAUGGGAAGAAAUCACCAAACGGUGUAAUUAAUUUAAAACAGAGAGACCUUCUAUAAGUAGGACAAUCAAUCGAGAUCUAACUUUCUUAAUUUGCGGUGAUAAAUAAUUGUAACAAAUCAAUUUCAAGAUUGUUAUGUGAUUUAGCUAGGUAGAAUAAAAAGUAAGCUACGUAUUUUUAUUAUACUCAUUUAUUAUUGUUAUCAACGCUUUAUUCUUUCUAUCUCUUACAUGGGCGGGAAAAUGACAAUUUUUGUUCAUGUCAUGUAUAUGAGACUUAAAUUGUCCACAUAAUUACUUGUUUGAAACUUUGUCGUUUAAUGUGUAUGUGCACAGUUCCCUCAUGAAUUAGGUGAAGAAAAAAACCCAAACCCACUAAAACCUCUCUUUUUUUUUCUUUUUUUUUUUAAUGGGAUAUAAGUAGAGUUGUCAGAAAAGUUAGAGCAUUGUUGUAAAUUCAUAAUUUUGAGGUCUACAGCACUACAUAUUAAUUACUAUAAUAUUAUAUUAAUUGAAAUAUGUAGUUUAUAUUCCAACUGACAUGAUAAAUAAUAUAUUUCUAUCCAAUUGAAUUGAGUGAUAAAUAAUUAUUAAAUUUUAUAAUUUUUAAUUUAAAUAAUAAAUUUUUAUUAGUAACAUAUCAAUUAGAAUACAGACUUCAAAGGUUUCGAGCCCAAUGAAUUAAAAUACCUUACCAAAUGCUGCCAACAACCUAACAAUUUUUACAUUUUGUUUGUUGCUUUUAAUAUUACAUACCUUUUCAUUAGUGUGAUUUUUUUUUUUUUUAUUUCGCCAUCACCAAAUUGAAGGUAACGCAAUUAAUGUGGACGAGGAGUGUGAAUUUAUUUUAUUUCAUUAUUUUAAGUAAUGGGACGGGGUUGAAGUUUAAUAACAAAAACAACAAUUUAUCACAAUUUAUUUUUUAUUUCCCCCACUGAGUUUUACGGUAUUUCUACUAUGAUAGAUUGUAUGACCGUACUUUUCAUUUUCGUCCCUUGUCGUCUGUAUAUAGCUUGGUGGAUGGUGACUCAUAUAAAUCAUCCCCAUCCAAAAGCAUAAACCAAUAAAAACUUGCAGUUGUUAUUAUACAAUAUUACAGUAGUACCUGAAUUAAGUCCGAUGGACAUCCCUUACUUCUUUUUGCCACUGAUUGCUGCCUCUUUCACAUCAGUCGCCGAUGGAUAUAGGUUUCGUCGUAAUCCUGCGUUCUCCACCACCGUCGGCGGACAAUAAUUUGUGCUUUAAAAAUCUCAAUGGUUUCCGUCCCGACUGACCACCCAAACCACCCCACUGUCCGCUCCAAUUUAUAACAUCGAUUCAAAAUAAAAAUUGUUUUCUACCAUUUUACUACUAACUCAUUUGGGUGGCGAGAAAUCGAAGAAAAAUUAUGCAAUCGUUGAUUUCAUUUAUUAAAUUUACUAUUUAAUUAUUUGUUAAUCAAGAAUAAAUUAUAAUUUAUUAGUACAACAUGAUUCACAAACUCAAAUAUCUUAAAAAAAUAUAAAUAAUUCUCAAGAAACAUAAAGUUCAAAACCUUUUGAAACAUUCUAAAAAAUAAAUAAAUAAACUAACUUCCUUUUAUAUUAUUCUUUGUUUACCUUUAUUUGACUUUAUUAGACUACAUUUAAAAAUUUUAAAAAUUAAAAUGAGUCCUUUAAAUUUCAAGAGUAAUAUUAAUUUUUUAAGGUAAACUAACAUAUUGUAUGUACAAAAAAAUUAACUUAUCAACUAAUAAUAAAAAUAGAAAUGAAGAAACAAAAAUAAAGUUUCGUAAUAUCAAAAUAAUAAAGUGUUUCAGCCUAAUGCUUUUUACAUAUUUUUUAUUUUAAAAUUUUAUCUUUUUUAUUUUAUAAUUUUUUAAAGUAUUGAAAGAUUAAUAGCCCAUAUUAUUAAUACAUAUUCAAUUUAUUUAUUCUAUAUUAAAUAUAUAUUAUAUAGCAAAAAGAUAUUAUUUACAUUUUAUCAAUUUUCCAUGUGUUUAAAAAAUUUUACACGAUAUAACAUUUUUGUUCUUACAACGUCCCUCAGUCAAAGUAAAUUAGUGGAUCAAAUUUUAAAAAUUUUAAAGGAAAUGAGUUAUAUAAAUAAAUAUUUAAAAACUUUUAUCUUUUAUGAUUUUAUAAUAAACAGUAAGGACUGUAGUGUUAAUAACCAAUAGAAUGCAUCUAAGACGUUGAAUAGUUGGGCUAUUAGAUCUAUUGGUCGAAUAAAAAAGGACAAACUCGAGAAAUGGAGGGAGAAUGAGAGAGCGAACAAAAUCAAAUAAGUUAUUUUUUUAAUAAAAAUUUUAAUUCGUAAAAAUUAUAGGAAAAAAUGAUAAAUUCAAAUAACCACACCCCGCGGACCCUCCACAUAUAUAACGAAAAAGGCAGAAGAGAAAACACAAAUCUAGAAUCCUAAAAUCCACCCUGCUACCUUCUUUCCCUGCUCUCGUUCGAAUUCGAGCCACAAUGACACACCGACGCAGUCUGCUCCACCACAACUGUUGCUGCAGUUGCUCCAUCGACCACCUCGACCACUACCGCAGCUUGCUUCACCGCGGCUUUGAUGGUAAAAUAUAUUAAAUAAUUAAUUUCGAAUGUUUAUUUUAUUAUUUGUAUUAGUAACUAUUUAAUUGUAGUUCUAGGGUUUCUAGCAUUUUAAUUUUUUGUCAAAAUUUUAAUCCUGUUCAUUAGCUCUAAUGCUAGAGAUAACCUGUAAUCUCUAAAGCAUGAAGUUAUUUUGGGUCAGUUUGAUAGGAGUGGUAAAAAUAUAGGUAUUGUUAUCAAUGUGCUGAGUGUGGGAUGUAUUCAUUGUCACUGGAUUUCUGGGGUCAAUGCUUGAGCUUUGAUGCUCAUUAUUUGGAGAUGAAACCAGUAUCAUCUCAAUCACAAUACACUAUGAACUGUAAGUUUGCAGCUCAUAAAAAUUGCAAUGCCAUGGCUCUACUAUUUUCAGAAAAUGAACAAAGGAUCAAGAUUGCAUGGCACUAUGGAUACCAUCAACUGUCAAUUAAUCACUAACAAAUCAAUUACAAUUAACUCAAAUGGCAGGCCAACAAGGCAGCAACCUACACGGCUACACACGCAAAAAAGGAAAAAAAAAAAAAAGGACGGUUGUGCUGGUUGCUGGUAUUCCAAACUACAAAAUAAAAAAAAAUGAAGCCUAAUUGACCAAAAAUAGACUUAUGCUUAAAGGCACUUUACCGGAGUUAGAUACAGUGUCGUGCGGCUGUGCUGGUGGGUGGGAGGCGCUGUUGCGACACGCGGGAGAUGCUGUUGCUGCCUUGUUGGGUGGCUGGGCGGUGGGUUACGCCUUACGCGGGAUAUGCUCGCUACUACUGCUGCCGCUAGACGGUGGGUCGCUGAUGGCUGAUGCUGGCUGGACGCUGCCCGGCUGCUGGAAUCUAGAGAUGCUCACUGUUGUUGGCUGCCGGCGGCGAGAACAGUGAGACACUGUGAUAGUGAUUUAGGGAUGCUCACGAUUCACGAAUAAUGGUGCUCAGUGCUCACGACUAGAGGGAUUUAGGGAUUUUGCCCGAUUUUUUAAUUGUUUUGUUUAAUUUUUUUUCAGUUUUUUUAUUUCAAUUUUAUAAUAUAUUAUACAGACUUAUAUAUAUUAUUUAUUAUAAAGUCCAGGCUUUUCAUUCAGGCCCUUGAGUGAGCCCAUAUGUUAUAGGCUUUAUUAAUUUCGCCCUUAUCCAUAAUUUCAGCUGCGGGCCUGGGCCUGGCUCGAGCAGGCUUGGGCCGGCCCGGACUUUUCUGCCAAUCCUACCACACACCCCUUAUGUCCACCUAAAUAUGUGUAGUCCCGCAUGUCCACCCACCUCUUAUGUCUAUCCAAUGCUAAAUAUGUGCGGCCGUACAUGUCCACACACCCCUUAUGUCUACCCACUGCUUAGUGUGAGACUAUACGCUUCCAUGAUUUAAGAAAAUAAAUUUGUUAAAUGAUCAUCCAAUGUUCAAAAAGUUUUGGAUCUUGGAUGAUCAUUGAGCAAGUUAAUGACACCAUAUACUUUCAAAUCUUCUUUGUCCUGUAAGUUCCACAGACACUUUCCUGAGUUUCUCAAAUCUAUCCUGAAACAUAUUAAAAAAAAAAAGAAAAAUUAGAUAUAAAUAAUUUUCAAACGUUGGAUGAUUGUUUAGCAACUUUGUGAUACCAUAUCCUUUUUUAUCUUCUUUGUCUUGUAAGUACAAUAGACACCAUCCUGUAUUUCUCAAAUCUAUCCUAAAAUAUAUAUAAAAAGGAAAUAACAUUGCACAUAUAACGUUGGCAUAAACAUGUGCAGCCUUGCAUGUCCGCCCACCGUUUUUGUCCACCCACAACAUGUCCACCAAUAUAUGCACAGUCCAGCAUGCCCCGCAUGUCCACCCACCGCUAAGUGUGGGGCUCUAGGAUUCCAUGAUUUAAGGAAAUAACGUUGAAUAAAUAAAUAACGUUGACACAAACAUGUGUCUCCACAUGUCCACCCAAAUAUAUAGAGUUGCGCAUGUCCACCCACCUCUUGUGGCCACAUAUCGCUUAGUUUGGGGCUCCAAGCUUCCGUAAUUUAAAGGAAAUAACAUUGCACAAAAAGAACAUUAUUGAGUAUGGUAAAAUGCUAUUAAGAAAUAGAUGAUGGUGAUGUAUCAUGCAUGCAAAUCUUUUUUUAAUAAAAUUUUUCUAAUGUAUUUUUAUUACUAGAAUCUCUGCUGUGUAACUAUAUUAAUAAUGCCCCCAAAUUAAAGUCCAAAUAAAAUUAAAUAGUAUAGUCUAACAAAUUAAAUUAACUCAUAUUGUAAGGUACCAAGAAUUAAAUAUUCUAUUGGCAAAGUCAAAAUGCAAAAGCUAUCCAAACGGAACCUACUGGUCCGUCCAUGAAAAUUAAUUAUUUCUUCAUUAUUGUCCAAUUAAUAUAUGAUCAUAUGGUUUACGAGGUAGGUCAUACAUUAAUUAUAUAAUUACUUCAUAGCUAUCCAAUAUCUUCAUACACCUUUUAUGACUAACCUAUUGGUAUGUCCAAAUUAGUAGUUAAUUUGUUGUUGUUCAAUAUCAUCACUUGAUAAGAUUAAGAUAUAAAUAAAUUUGUUUUAUGGGGUUUAGGGUACCUCACUGGAUUGUGGUGUAUGAGUUGUUUUGGACUUGUAAAGGAGCUAAAAAGGAAAAGGAAUGAGAUGGCUACAGCAUGGGGUCUGGACUGGAGAGGGAGGGAUUGAAGGAGAAAUUCCAAAUCUACAAAACAACAAAAAGAGGUUAGAGGUGGAGUCGGCAAUGGCUAGCGACCACACUCCAAUGCUCAAGUCAGCUACUUGAACUUUUAUGGAGUUGAGAGCUUACAAGCUCUCUAAAAUGGAGGCUGAAGGUUGAACAAGACCUCAGCCCAUGAUUUUCUGUGUGUAUUUUGUUGAUGAGUAUGAGAGGGAUAAAACCUUUUUGCCUUUAUAUAGUACAACCUAUGUACCUUGUCACAUAGCACAUUUGCAGAGGUUGUUUGGACAGUUGCAAACGUGAUAGUUAAGGACCAUUGUCCUUUGCUUGCUGCUUUUGACUUUUUGCAGGCAUGACAGCCAGCUGUCCCCUCUUUUCUAAUAAGAUAUUCUUUAUUUGAUUUAACAAAAUCAAAUAUUCUCUUUGCGCGAUGGAGAUAGCACGUGUGGAUGAUUUUUUUGGAUAUUUCUUGGCUCUGACGUGAUGUACCCCGUAUAUUCGCUUAAAUACCAAGUGUAAUUGGUACAGGUCAGGUACCUCAUGAGGAUAACUUACAGUUAUAUAAUCUUUACAUUGACAUGUGGCAUGACAUUUUCAAUAUUCUAUUUAUUCUCAAAAACAAUAUAUAUAUAUAUAUAGACACACACACAUAUCCCCCUAUAUACCUCUUAUGUAUCAUGACUUUGUCCAGUAUCUUACACAUAUCCCUUAUAUACCUCUUAUGUAUCAUGACUUUGUCCAGUAUCUUAAGUACUACUCCUUCUUGACUUUUGAAAAUUUGUUGUAAAAUGAGAUGGUUUAAGAAAAAGUGAUUUAAAAAAAUAUCAUACACUAAAAUUAACUUUCAACUUUUUAAAAUUACUUUCGACCAUCUCAAAAAUAAUUUCAAAUGAAACCCUUAAUCCAAUUAAAAAAAAAAAGUAAAAAGUAGUGGAAAUUUUAUUAACAUAAGUAAAAAAAUAUGAACAAAAUAAUUUGUUCUUCGAAACUCUAAUAAAUUCGAGGCAUAUCCUGCCCACAACCAAAUGAUGCAUCAAGAUCUGCUCUUUGAAAAAAAAAAAUUAAUUUGUGAAUAUAUACUUGCGUGUUUUACUUUCAAAAGACGAUAAAAUAAUUUCAGCCCUUGGAUGCAUCUAACGGCUGGAAUCACACAAGUCCGGAUAAAUCUCAAUAUUUGGGAGACCGCACUAAAGUCUAUUAAUUGUUCCCAAACAUUUACAGCCAAUUUUAAAAUUUACAAUAUUUUAAAAAAUAAAUUUUAUCAAAUAUUUAAUUAUUACUGUUUAUAACUGAAUGUAUGCUUUGAAAAUUAAGAACAAACGCAACAAUUACAUAAAAAGUGAAAAUAAUUAUAUGUAUACGAUAAUAUGUCAUCAAUGGCUCUGUAACUUGUGAGCAAGAUUCGAUUUGAAACUCUUGUACCUUAUUACUAUAUGAUAAUAUCAAGAUUUAUUCUUGGGUCUUUGCUUGAUAUCAAAGAUUUAUUCUUAGGCCUUUGCUUGGUGCUUUCGGUCGCAGGAGCCGUCGUGAAUUGACCAUUACUGGGGUUUGAUUCAGCCACAGAAUUAAGUUAGAUUUUCGUAUGCACACUAUUACUGGUUCAUCCAAGUAUGCAAUAAACAGAUGAAAUGAUAUUUUGAAAAGCAAAUUAAGACUAUUAGUUCAUUUGUCUUGUAAUUAAUUAUUGCCGACAAACUAUACAUCGAAUCACCGACUUUUUUGUUCAAUUCUUACCUACUUUGCUAAUUUCUACCAUUACUGUCUACAUUUUUCAAUGAAUUAUUGCUUGGUAAAUAUUUUUUUCCACCUAUUAAAAAAAAUAGUUUUUUUCACAAUUAUUUAUUUGGUGGACCAGACGGUGUUUCGCACUAAUUGCAAUCAUUUAACCAUAUGUAGCCGUUAAUCUUACCCCCACUAUUGUGCAAAAAAAAACCUCAGCCGUUGAUCUUUUAUCUGUACCAUUACCAUGAAUUAUUAUUGCUUUGCCCGUGGCUACUUAAUUGAAUCACUAUAAAUAUCUGAUCAAACCAGAAACAACGACUCGCUCAAGCUCAACUAAAGUUUUGAUUUCGCUUCAUUCACCGUAAGCUAGCAGAGAUUUUCCCCUUUCUACUUUGAAGAAUAUGGGAACUAUUUGCGCAGGUUUAUAGCCCAUGUUCAGUUGAACAUCAUUCAUAAUUCUUAUUUUAAUAUAUGCAUUUAUGAUUAUUUUAACAUAUGCAUUUAUAAAUAUAUUUUUUAAUAUUAAAUUUUCAGGUAAGAACGAAUGGUCAGAGAGUGGGUGCUUUCGUUUUAGUAGCAUUGCUGACGAUGAGGAUGUGAAAAAUAACAAUCUUGAUCUUCUUAUUAUCCCGCAAUAUGGAAGAAAUCCUUACCGUAUUGGUUAAAUAUAUAUAAUAUUAUUCUUUUUAUGUUUAAUUAAAUAAAAAAAUGGGUAUUACUAUUACAUGUAUUCUUAAUAAAUAAUAAUAUACGGAAUAAUAUUAUUUAUUAAGAAAGACUUAGUAGAUGGACAAGAAAGACUUAGUAGAUGUUCAAGAAAUUAUCUUUGUUAGUGUCCAUCUACUAAGUCUUUCUUAAUAAAUAAUAUUAUUCCGUGUCAAUGUGUUAUUUAUUUUCGGUCUCUCAACAAAAUUCAAUUUAAUUAAUUAUGCACUCUUUUAUCUGCUUCACACACACCUGUAUAUAAUUAUUGCCACUUGGGAUGGAACCAAGAUCUCUAUAAUUAACUAAGAACGUUUGUUUUUUCUUAAAUGGGUUGUCCUUAACAACUUUAUCUCUGCUGAAUAAAAUUCAUCCAGCUAUACAGUCAAAGUCACAAAAUAAAAGUAAAAGAAAUAUUAGGAAUACUUUUUAAUUAAUUUAAUAAUUUUAUUAUCCUAUUAAUAAAAAUAUCGUGUUUCUAUGUGUUGUUUAAGUUAAUCCAUCAAUAAAAUUAAAGGUAUUAUCCUAAUCAAUUUGAUUGAUUAGGCUUUACUUUCAUUUUGAAUAUUUUGUGAAAUAAACACGACAUAUUUUUCUCUUAAAUCAUCUCGUGGUAACAAGAGAAAUUAUUGAAGAAUAGAAUGAAGAACACAGCAACUCAGGGGAGACAAAAUGUGCCUUACAUCUGUACUGAUCACUCCAAAAAUCCAUGAUUCUACUCCUGAAGAUAUGCUUAAAUACACUUUCUUUACUUUGGAUUGGAAAAAAAAAUAGUAAUAAACCAUGAUCAAAAUCAGCAGUGCGCCUGAAGAAUAAUGUUUGAAUGUGUGAUAUUAUGAGAAUAAUUGACUGUACAGCAGUACAAGAACAAUUAAUGCCCAGUAAAAAAAAAAAGGAUAAAAAAAAUUAACCUUCCUACUCCGGUAUAAUUAUUAGUCAAAGGAGUCACAAUAUAUGAAAGUUCGAGAGAUAUUGACGACAUGUCGGAACGACAUGAAUAUAACAGAAGAUCCGUCGUAAACAUAUAAAAGACGUCAUUUAUGGAAAAACGAUGUCUUUUAGUUGGAGUAAAAUGUUUCUAUGUAAUUACUGCAUGCAUGACAUAUUUAGUUCAACGAAAUAUAAUUAUCAUUUAAAUGGUAAUUUUUCUAACCAAACACGCACAUGACAUACAUAUUUUAAUUUGAGUAAAAUAUCUCUGAUAUACUUUAAAAUUUUUAGAUGGUGUGAUUAUGCAUUUAACCAUCCUCGUUCGUAUUCGAUGUUAUUAUCCAAUUGAUUAUAUCCUGCGUCUAUAACUACGAGAAAAAGUUCCCCAAAUCAAAUGAUAGUUGAUACAUUAAAUUAAGCAGCGGGUAAUUAAAUUUUCUUUUUCAGCUUUCGUCCAUCCUUUUGCAUUUUCUUGCAAAAUUACAAACAAAGAUUAACGACCAGUAUCUUGAAAAAUGUCAUAUCGUAAGAUACCGAGUAUUGAUUCUGCAUAUUAACCGAACCUACUGGUCUCUGUAUGAAAAUUGUUAAUCUCUUCAUUAUUAAUCGUCACUGGGUCCGGUUGAUGUGGUAGGUCACACACCUCUUAUUGCUUUGUCCAAGAUCUAAUGAUUUACAUAAGAAUUACAACAAAUAAAAGUUAUAUAAUCGAACCAAGAAUCCCUUGAGAUGGCUGUAAUAAAUAUUCAUAAUUAUAUGAAAGCCACAUAUCUCUUGCUAUAUUUACAUACUUGGGAAAAAUGGGAGGCGUAAGAAUUGUAGAAAGUUCAAUUGGGAAAUAGUGAUGGCUCGAUUUUUAGACUAUGCGAUGCAGUGUGGUGGUGGAAGCGAAAAGUAUUAUAACGGAAGUUGAAUAAUGGAUACAAAUAAAAAUAAUAUACAAAAGCGAAUUAGUCCAAGGGAGACAAUAUACCAACGCCAAAAUAGUGAGACGAUCCAAGGCAAGUAAUACACCAUAACAGUGAGACGAUCCAAGGCAAAUAACACACCAAAGCUUAAGAUUAGAUGAUAUUCUAAUUCAAGAGAUUUAAAUAAAUAAUUCCAUGAAAAUAUAUUAAUUAUAGAUAUUAUCAAUUAUAUUUGUCAUUUUAAUAUCAUCAAAUCCUUUUUACAUAUUUUGAUCAUCAAAUAUUAGUGACAACACAAACUACCAUAUAAGUAUGAUAGUUUAUAAUAGUCAUAUUAUGACUUUUAAGAAAAUGUCAAUUACAUAUGACAGGUUAAAAAUAUCAAAUUUUACAACUUUUACAAAGAAAAUUAUAAUAAUGGAAUCUCUUUUGUCGGCUUCAUGUGAUAUAAGCUAUAACAUUGAAAACCUGAUAAAACUCCAAACAAAACAAUAAAAUAGCAAACUCAAAAUCAUAUUAACAUAAACUGUAUAUAUCAAAAAUAAAAUCCAGUUUGAAACUAUACAUUUAUAUAAAUUAUACAAGGACAAACUUUAAAUGUUUGAAAUGUAUAUAUGAAAAAAAAAUAAGAUCUAGUUUGUUGAACUAUACAUUUAUCUAAAUUCACUCCACACUUUAAGCACAGAAUCAAUACCACCGAACCGUUUUCAGUAUAGUUGAAUCCUUAGUUAGCCUUCCACCAUUGAUCCCAAAUGUUUACAUGGCAACCCUACACAUAUAAAUAAGAUAAUAAGAAAUGAGAGACUGCAAAAUGUUAUAAACAGUCAACGCAUCCAAAUAGGGAGAUGGAGAUGGGAAAAAAAAAAUAAGGGCAAAAAAUCUUGCCUUAGUCAUAUUGAUACCAUGCAAAUUUAUCACAAUUGUACAGUACAUCAACCACAACAAAUUGACCAAAUCACAAAGGACCUUCACUUUUACUUUUUUUUACAGGGAAAGAUAAUCAAAUUAAAUAUAGAUUUACUUGCAUGCUAGGCUAAUGACUAAACAAAAUCAUUCUUGGAAAGUCAUAUUAGCCACAUUCGACAUUACCAAUCUGAAUAGGCACCUUAAUAUCAUUCUAUUUCGGAUUAAUCUUUUUCACUUGUCCUUUUUAUAACCCAAACUGAACCCAAAUGGUUUCAAAUUUAUAACCCAAACUGAACCCAUAUAUCUGAAUUAAAUUCAGUUUGGGUUACAAAUUCGGUUUACAAUAAUUUCAAAAAAUACAAUCCAAUUUUUUUCCCCAGAAAAUCACAAAACCUAAAAUGAAAAAGAACUAAAAAUUAAAAUCCCUCUACAUUAUUCAAUUGUCUUCAACAAUCAAUUGCCUUCAACAAUAGCUAACUAAACUACUUAUAACAGCCUUCAACAACAAAAAAUCUUCAGAUUACUAUUAUUACAAACACACCACAAUCAAUUAUAAAACACCCAUGAAAAGAGUGACGAUGAUGACCAAGAUCUGUGUGAGACAAGAAGUGAGAGAUUAUGAUGGAAGAUAUGAGUCGGAUCAUCCAAAGUGUUCAACUACUUCACCACUUGAAGGACGGUAAAGCGAGAUGUAGCUGGUUCGCAGAGGCAACAAGCUUGACAGUGGCACGACGAACAGUGGAAGAAGACAGUUGCCAUUGAGUUUGGGAAUGAGGGGCUAAGUUUGAGAUAAAUGAAGGGGAGAUAAGUUUGAAUAAAAGAGGAUUCACAGGCUGAGUCCAAGUGUGAGAGAGGAGUUUGAGAAAAAUUAGGAUAGAGAUUUGGGGGAGAAGAUUAGGGGUUUCAAAUAAACUAACCCAUUCUUACAAUCACACAGAAACUGAGAGAAAGCGAGAUGGAAACCCCAUUCAGAUUUUGAAAGCCAAAACAUAAUUUUAAAAUAAUCUACAAUUAGUCCAGCAUGUUGUCCUUAACUCUUGAACAUGCUCUUCCUUCUCAACUACUUUUUUUUUUUUUUUUUAUCCCAAUGAUAAAUGAAUUUCAAAAUAAUCUAUAAUUAGUCCAGCAUGUUGUCCUUAACUCUUGAACAUGCUCUUCCUUCUCAACUACUUUUUUUUUUUUUUUAUCCCAAUGAUAAAUGAAUUUCAUCUCCUCUGUUUCCCUUUAGAACAAAUGAGAGCGACAUUUCAUAGACUUGAUAGUGAAAUGUCAUUUUAUUAUGGAACAGGAUAUUGUCUCUUAGAUCCAUCUGUAGUUUCUCACCUAAACCACCACCCUGUAAUGCUCAUCUAACAGUCACUAAGUCGCACAAGUCAUGCAGUAAUUGUAUUUUGGUUCUGAAAUUAGACUAGGACAGAAAUUUGACUUUGAUAUAAACAAGAAAGUUUUAUUAAGUUUAUUUACUUAGAUAGAAUAACAAGACAAUGGACAAACAGAGAGAAAAGGAUGUGUUACUCUCAUAAACAUCUAGGAUGUGCAUUCACCAGCUAUAGUAUAUCCAAUCAUUUCAGUAGCUAAUAGCAGAACAUUGCUGGCAUAAACAUCUCAAGUAAAUCCAACAAGAUUAUAAUUUAUGUGCAUAAACAUCUCAAGUAAUGUCCAUAGCAGAACAAAUCUAGAAUCUAAAAUAAUUCCAACAAGGUAUAAAUCUCAAAUCCCUACUACUAUUUUGAGACUCGAGUAAUUUCAAACUGAAAAUAUUACAUAUUCAAUUAUUACCUGAAAUCAACAUCAUUCUUGGUGGAAUCAAUGAGGAAGUGACGUUCUCAAUGGAAUCAAUGAGAGGAACAGCACAAUAAUCUGCUUGAAGAGAAGGAAGAAAAUAAUAUCCUAGGUUAAUUAAACAAUAAUCAAUCAAAAUUGAUGAGGAAGUGUACUGACCGACAUAAAAUUAUCACAUGGCCACGAUUGAGAAUAAAAUGAAAAUUAUUUGUGCGUCCUUUGUUUUCUGAAUGGGAACAAAGAUGAGACUUAGAAUCAAUUAAAUCAAACCCAAAAUUGAUUAAAAGAACAAUUUAUUCAAGCAUAACAAUAAAAUUAUCUAAACUAGAACGAAAGAAGUGAAAAAAAUAUCAAAAUCAAAGGAAAAAAAAAACACCUGACAUUUGCGAAGCAAAUGAGGCCGAAGAAUGUUGAAAUUCUUCAUCAUAAACAAAAAUGAAAGAGAGAAGUUAAAAAAGUUAUCAAUUUGACUAAAUAGUGAAAUCACCAGGCUACAUUGCUAUUGUUGUCUAAAAUUGAAACACUAGGGUGAAUUUACAGCCUCAAUAAAAAAAAAAUCAUUAAUUAAAGGCAUUACGAGUGACGAAAUCAAACUUAGGGCAUUGAAUAGAGAGAAAUCACGUGAAAGAGAGUAAGAGUGAAAUAAUUAGCUUAGUUCUUCUUCACGCAAUCGAGAAGUGAGAAUAAACAAUGGAGACCAGUCUUAAUUCUAUUAGAGAGCGUUUAAUUCAGAAGAUGGAGGCUUGGAGUUAUGAUUUUGGAAGCUUUGAUCGGAGAUGAGAAAUGGCGGCUGCGAGCUUAUUGAAUCGUCGAUCUCUGAGGAAUGUUUGCUUUUUGCUAUUUCCAGUGGAAUGUCACUUAAUAAUCAAAACAGGGCUUUUUUUUUUUAAUUUAAAUACCGAACGCUUUAAGGUUUAUGCUCAGUUUUUUUUAAAAAAGGCCAAUAUAUAUUAUUUUAUUUCUUUUUUUGGGAAGCGUCAAAAAUAUGUUUUGUACUUCCGUUGAUUGUCAUUUAUAUAUUCUUUUCAAUUAGUGCUUUUCGACAGUUAGAAUCAAAUGUGGGGGAGAAAGAGUAAAAAAUGUGGAAAAAGUAAAAGUAACAAGAAAAAACAAAAGGGGUAAAAGUUCACGUGGUACGGGGUGGGGCCGAGAGAAACGAUAAUACUGUAUGCCGUUUCCGUGGAAUGUCACUUAAUAAUCAAAACAGGGCUUUUUUUUUUAUUAUUUAAAUACCUAACGCUUUAAUGUUUAUGCUUAGUUAAAAAAAAGGCCAAUAUAUAUUAUUUUAUUUUUUUGGGAAGCGUCAAAAAUAUGUUUUGUACUUCCGUUAAUUGUCAUUUUAUAUUUGAGACAUGCCUAAUCUUUGAUAAAGUGACAGAUAUAUUUGUUAAUUUAUAAAGUUUAUCGACUAAUAAAUGUCAAAUAUACUAAUUUUUAUUGUAGUAUUAGCCCAAGCUCGUGUCAGAGAAAACAGGCCUAGGCCCUUUGUAGGACUGUCCAUGUUCGAACAGGUCAAACUCAGAUUUUUUUUUUAACAAUUCAAUAAAAGGGUAAUUUUUAGGGACCUCCCUUGAGGUUUGGUGUAUUAACACCUAGAUAGAAUGUAUUGCUGUAAUUACAGAUACCUCCUUUGCCGUUAGUUAUCAGUUAGUUUGACCGUUAGUAGACUCUUAAAAUUACUAAAAUAACAUUCUCACAAAAAUGAUAGACUACAUCAGAAUCAACAAAAUCGAUUUGGAACCAUCUUUGAAAACCCAUGUCAACAAAAUCUUUGAUUGCGUCUGAGCAGGGACAAAAUCUUUGAAAACCCACUUCAAUAAACAAAAUCUUUGAAAACCCAUUUCAAUAAAAUGGUUGUUGAUGCUUGAUGGUGUGUGUUGGGUAUAAAGAGGAUUCCGUUGGCAGUGAAGCUUCAUCAACAGCCUCAAAAUGAAAAUGGUUGUUGAUGCUUGAAAGUAGCCGCAUAAACCAACAAAUGUAGAGGGUAAGUGGAAGAAAGAUCGAUGUAACCAUGGGUGCCAUAUAAACCAACAGAUUCAUAGAAUUUAAUUUCUCAGCCUUUGAUGUUAACAGGAUUCAUUGAACAACAUAUUUCAAAGCAUGCCUAGCUGUGGAUCCAAUACAAACCAAAAACCCAAGUAAAUAAAAUAGGGGCUCGUUGUUGCUAGCCAACACAAUAACAAACACAACUAGCAUCAAUGCACAGUAAACCUCGGCAAAUUAUUUCUUGCAAGUAAGCAGAAAAGUGGAAAUUGCGUCAAAGAAUGGGGUCGUAGCUCCAAUGGCUUGGCUAAGUGACACAAGCAAGUACCUCAACAAAGUGUUGGCGCGAUUGAGGUUGGGGCUGCAUGUGGAGAGGUUGGGGAGAUGGACGGCGAUGAUAUGAACCAUCACCGGCGGUAGAAUUUGCAGUAGUGGUAUCUAGCAUCACAAGCCACGAGCAAGGGUUUUGAGUGACUGUGUAGUUGGGUUUUGGGACUCAGAGGUUGUUGCAUGGUAUCGAUGGCUCAAGGGUGAUGGCAGCGGCAGUUGGGCGGCGUCGGCGAUGGCCAAAGGGGCAGCAGCGGCGUGUUAGUUGUUGUGAGACAAAAGUCGUGCUCUUGGGUAAAUAUUUGGUGGUGGACGGAGCUAAUUCAGAGGUUGCUGUGAAUGGGGUUGGUUGCCAGGGUGAGGAGGGUACUCAUACAGUGGCAAAGAACCACCACCGGCUGCUUGUGGAGCCGCGGCCAGCUGGUCAAGGCUGUGUUUUUUUUUUUUUUUGAAAGCAAGUUGGUCUCGGAUAAUUUUUUUUUUAAUUUUAAAUAUGCUUUUACAUAUUUAUCCUUGUAUACUAACACUCUACGUAUUUUUAUACUAACGGUAGGGGAGGUAUCUGUAAUUACAACAAUACAUUUCAUCUAAGUGUUAAUACACCAAACCUCAAGGGAGGUCCCUAAAAAUUACCCUUCAAUAAAAUAAAACAAUAGUUAAAAGGUAAAAACAACUUAAAUAAGAGUGGAUUUUAUUAAUUUUACCUCUAUUCAACUAAUUAUACAACAAUAUUUAUUUAAAAAAAUUGAAAUAACCUCCCACAAAAAAAAUGAAUUUUACAAAAAUUUACAACCGACAAAAUGUUGGUUCAAUUGUUUAACAUAGCAUUACUAUAAUAAUAAUAAAAAUAAAAGACAUAAUUAUCAUCACAUUCCAAAUCCGAUAAUCCAAUUUCCAUAGACCCUAUCACACUAACAUUUGUUUUCUUUCUUAUUUUUUAUUUUUAAACUUAUUCGUAAAUUAAAUUUAAUUAUUUAAAGAAAGAAUAUGUUUUGAGAUUUGAUGCACAAAACAUAAAUAAAUUAUUCAUAAUUUCAUUAUUAGGAAAUAAAUGUUUAGGGGGAUUGAAUUGAUGUCCAAAAUCCAAAUGGCCUAAAUAUGGCCCCUUUUUAUAUAUAUAAAGGUAUAGAAUAAUUUGUCAAUGAUGAAUCAUUCAUUGACCAUAUUAAAGUCAAGACAAGGUAAAAAAAAAAAAAAACUCAACGUUAAUACAAAGUAUAUUGUUGUAUAAUGUUUUGAAAAAUUCCUGCAAAUAUAUGGAAACUGAAAAUGAUCGUAUUAUUUCUGGCGAUUAAUGAUUCUUGUGGAGUAGAUCCCUGAUCUAUGAAAUGACUUGCAUGAGCAUAUUCACCCUUUGGGAGUGGGAAACAAGUAAAAAUAUGUGUGCCAGAGGAGACAACAUUGGGGAGUUAAGUCUGUGCUUCUCGUAAUCAAUUUCCAUAUCAAAAGAAAAUGGAGUUUAUAAUCUUGCUUUUACUAACCUCGUUAACUACUUUGUGAACAAGUUUUUGAUAGACAAAUCUCAAACAUCCAGUGUUUGGUUUUAAGGCCUUUAAGUUUAUGUACUUUCCAUAUUAGGACCAAUGUCGGAUCUUUAACAACUUUUUUAGAUUUUUAAGUACUUUGGUAUGUUUAGGCCUUCACUUAUUAACUUUAGGAAAAAGGUUGAGGAAGAGGAAUUUCUUGGAGAUACAGAGCUCUAUCGUGAUCCUACCACAACACUUUACUAGUAAUAUACUCUAUUAAGUUUCUUUUAUUGACAUUUUUUGUUCAAUCCCUUCUUAACCUUCUAGGAUAUGACUUUCCUCUUAUUAUACUAUUAAAACAUUUAAUUCUUGAUAUAAAAACAUUUUUAUAGGCCCGAAGUCAGUCCUACAUCAAAAUGCAGAUCUUCAGAAAUAAAUGUAAACAUCUGUUGUUGCAAAAAUUUAAUUCAUGUUAUUUGUCUUUUAAAUUUAUGGUGAUUUGCAGUUCAAGAGUAGUCGUUGGCAUUGUUAUGAUACUAUGAUAGUAGUGCAUGCACCAAAAGAAAAACAAGUAGCCGGGUAACUAAGCUCCUUGAUUAGUUAUUUUAUUUUUUGUUUGCCUCUAGUCUAACUACAAUUGCCAAUUGUAUGCCCCAAAAUGGUUGCAAUGGUUACAUCUCGAGGGGAGACUUUCGUAGUGAACUUCAACAUUGAAUCCAUAAUCAGAUAGUUCGACUGUAAAGAUUUCCAGCAAAUCACCAUGAAAAUCCACCUUUAUUAAAAUCUUGGCAAAAUAACCAUACUUUUUCUCUCUUAUUGCCUGAUGAAUUUGCAAGGAAAUGCCAACUUCUCUAGCCACCGUCAUCAGAAUUCUAGGAUGCCAGUACUCCACUCUGGGAUCAUAUGUUCUUAAGGACGUGACUGGAUAGUUGGCUCACAAAGGUUGAAAUUCCAUCACCAUUUGUAUAAGCGCAAGAACCCCAGAGGUAGUUUAUAAUAUUGGGGCAAGAGAAAACAUUUGGUGAAAACCAUCACCUAUAAACUCAGGAAUAUUCAUGUUGUAUCAUCAAGAAUCAAUAGCAUAAUUAUACUGAAGCGUAUCUAAAUUCAUAACGCUAAAUUUCUCUUUGGAGCAGCGUGGUUGACCUUUCAGAUCUACACGUUCUCCUAGAGAGUCCUUUAGUUCUCUCUGUGCUCUCUCUCUAAUGAUGGGAUAUCAUAAAGAAUGGAAAGAAUACAUGUAACCUGAGGACCAUAACCACUUAUAUAGACAACUUAUUCUUGUUGUCACCUGAUAUUCAUAAUUCUGCCUAUCAUAAAAUUAGAAUAUUAUUGGGUCCUACACAUUAAGGCUCACACUAUAUUAGAUACAUUAAAGCUCAUAAUACCGAAAAUUUAAAUAGAUCACUUUUAAUUGAGCUUAACCUUGUACGACAGUCUGCAACACAUAAUUAUUCACAUAUAAGCCCAACGUUGGAUUAAAGAUCCAACAAUAUUGAAUUAAAAAUCCAACAAUCUCCCACUUGGGCUAUAUGUGUAACCUUAUAAUUAUGUUUUGCAAAAAUAACUAUAUGAGCUCAACCUUACUGUCAUUAUAGAAAUGCAUCUAUAACUAAUCCGGUCCAUAAAUCAUACUAACAUAAGUACACAGAAUGGACUGUAGACCGUAAUAUCCGGAUUCAUAAGUACAAGCGGCAGAACUACAGAACAAUUAUAUUUCAACAUAGCAUCAUUAUCUAAGAAAAGGUGCACGCAUAAGCAUUAUACGAUUAAGCCUACUUGCUUAAUUUAUAAUGGAAGGAAAGCCAACCAUGAUGACUCGUCUGCCAUAAUGUUUAAUGUCAGAGAAAAAGAAAAAAUUAUUUUGCUAAUAUGCAUUCUUCUUAGCUCUAAGACUAUCUAUCAAGAAAAUUGACUUCAUUAAGAUCGUUGCCUUUCAAAGAAUUCAUCAACUGUACAAAAAGCAACUUCGAACAACCAUCAUAUGCUCUAUUGAAAAAUCAAUAUCAUAGGUCCGCACGUUUAAUAUUUUCAUUCCUGGCAACAGAGAAAAAGACUGCACCUCUCCCAGAGUCACGUCCUAAGAUAGUUGUCCAAAGCCAAUGCAGUUUCUACCACGUCUUAUGUCUCGACGAACAUGAGCUUAUACUGCAUUAUUUCCUGCAAGAAGAAGGCCAUCACGUUUCCCUCCCAAGAAAACAUGAGCUUCUACUUAAAUGUGAAUUAAUUAGCAAGUUAUAACAGAGAAAAACAAAGAAAAGAUGCCAAAAUGUUUGAAGGCAGACUGAUAAACUAAAAGGAGAAGUGGCAAUUAUUUCAUCCACGUACAAGUAACUGAGAAAAAAACAUACAAUCCCAUCAGGGACACCGGAGGCCAUCUCCGCCAAGAGCUUUCCAUAAUUAAUUUAUAAACAUACAAUCUCAUCAGGCUUUAUUGCGAGUGAAGCUUCACGGCAGCUAAGCUGCAACCCAAACAUUGAACAGAAAAGGAAAAACAUAAAGAGAUCAAUGGAGAUUUUAGCAUAAAAAUUAACAGCUUUUGAAACAAAGAUGACAGCAUACCGAUAUACACUAUUUUUACUUCAGAAGCCAUAGUAUUGCAUCAGCAGUGGAAGGCGACAACUAACUAAAGAAUGAUGAAACUCAUUUUUCAUAGCAAAAAUAAUGAUAUUGAAUCCAAGCACAAUAAAUAUUAUUAACUUCAGAUAAGCCAUCUAGCUAAAACCUCCGUCAAAGUAUGAACAAAGUUUGCCCUGUAGCUUUUUCCAUCUUUGUUAUUUUUUACAAGACCAAAACUGGAUAACCGAGAGUCACCAUCCUGCCAUGAAAUGAAAAUUAAUUAAUGAACCUGUACAAUCAAAGGCAUAUGAACAUGCUGAAAAAUCAUAUGAAGCAGCCACAAGUUCCCUGACCUAUAUAUUUCUCCAGUAAUUAAAAUUAUUCUUAUAGAAGCAAUGAAAUGAUUAGCAGACUUUUACCUUUCAGUUUGCGUACAAGUCCCCUUACCCAUGUAGUCAUCCUCAAUAUUUGCAUGUAGCCAUCCUCACUCUUUGCAUAAAUGUAUUGCAACUCCAGCAAUGACCCUAAUCUUGUAAGAACACGAAUGUGUAGCAAUCAAUAGUCAACACAACUAUUUAUUUCAAAACUCAUGCUUCCUAGGAUUUUUUUUCCUUUUUUUUUUUGAAAAAACUUAAAUUACCGGGAAAACUUGAGUCUAAAGAUAUAUAGGUAUUAGACACAUAAUAAAAUCAUGCAAAACCCAUGCUUCCUAAAAGAUUUUUUUUUUUUAAGUAACGUGAUACUAACAAAGUCAGUGGCUUAAUAGAAAAAAUUCAAAAUCAACCCACAAAAAAUUCUUAUGCUUCCAUUAUUAACCCAACUGCUAUUCUUAACCCCAACAUUGUUCCUCGACCCCAAAAAUCAUUGGUGGAUGCUGUUUCUGGAUCUACAGCUAAACUGAUUCCAAUCAACUCGGUGUCUCUGGUCCGGGGAGAACCUGCAGUUAUUUUUUCAGCUGAAGAAAUUAAAUCCAUGGCAGAGGCUUUCAAAAUGUUCCUUGUAGGUAAGUUCUCUUUUGGCCGACCUUCAAUGGAUAUUAUAAGAAAUUUUUUUGUUUCAUUAGAUUUGAAAUGCAACACCCAAAUUUCAUUACUAGAUCCUCGCCAUAUUUUAAUUAAAUUGCAACUUGAGGAAGAUUAUUCCCGAAUUUGGCUUAGAUAGGCAUGGUACAUUAAUGGAAAGUCCAUGCACAUUUUUAAGCGGUCAACUUCUUUUAGAUGUUCUGAAGAGUCACCUGUAGUUCUUCUCUGGGUAUCUCUGCCUUAUCUCCCAUUGCAUUUUAUUCAUUGCAAGCCAGCUUUAUUCUCUAUUACUGCAGCCAUCGGUACUCCUCUGCGUGUUGAUGACGCCACAGCCUCAGUUAAUAGGUCAUCAGUUGCUAGAGUUUUGGUUGAGUACGAUGUUUCACGGCCUUUAUUGCCGCGUAUUUGGAUUGGAGAGGGGGAAACCGAAUUUUGGCAAGAUGUGGUUUUCGAGAGGGUUCCCACAUAUUGUAGAUCGUGUAAACAUCUUGGCCACUCAGCUGAUACAUGUUAUGUUUCCAAUCCUGGCUUCACAAGCCCCAACAGCCAGUUAGCGAGCCUCAUACUAAAGUAAUUAAUGAUAAGAGGAAAAUGCCAGUUUCUACUCAAGAAGUACAACCAGGGGCUCCUACUACAACUCAGUAUGUGGUGGUUGAUAACAAGCGGCCACAAGGAUCCAAAAUUCAGACUAUAGUCACCUCAGACCAGAAUAAUUUGGCUCAUACUGUUCCUCUCCCUACGCUCCAGGAUAUCGGAAUGGUUGCUGAUAGAAUUCCAUGUCCCCCAGUUACAGAUUGUGGUGGACCUUCAGAAGGACAGAGAGCUUGUGAGGUGCCUAUAGAUGACCAUUUACAAGUCGGUUUUAACUCCCAUUGCACCGAUAUCCCUGAUUUUGAUGAGAACGGUGAUGGCGGCUUAGGAAGAUCCCGAUUGGAUGGAGAUGCUGUUUCGGAUACAGAGUCUGGAUCUGGCGACGAGGGCCGCUUCUCGACUGACCCUGAUGAGGCUCACACUCCCUUAGCCCCGGAUGCGGUGAUUGACAACUUUGAUGGCCAGCGGAUUACUACUCAUUCUAGGGAUUUUUCAUUAGUUACCGGUCGCAGAUACCGUAAGACUCAGAGGCGGAUGUGGGAUUCCCCCAUCACCCCAUCAUGAUUAGCUCGCUUAUUUGGAAUAUUAUGGGGAUCAGCAAGGCCCCCGCGGUCUGCAGAUUGCGGAAAUUGAUACGAUUGCACAAACUAUCUCUUAUUUGCAUUUUGGAGCCAUUUGUUUCGUCAGAUCAUUUGGAGGAGAUUCGGAUUCGUCUGGGAAUGGACCACGCUCUGUCUUUUCACUCAGGGAAGAUUUGGGUGUUUUGGUCAGCGCCUUUUUUUGUGGAGUUGUCGCAGGAUAUGGGUCUGGUGAUUCACUGCCAGCUUAGCCAUUCUCAUUUCUCUGACCCUGUGGUUAUUUCUUAUGUUUAUGCUAGCUGCCUUAUGUCUAUUCGAGAGGAUCUCUGGGAUGCCGUAGUGACAUACUUUCAUAGCCAUGAUCGCCCUUGGAUUGUUGGGGGGACUUUAAUGUUGUUCAGUCUGUUUCGGAGAUUUCUGGUGGGCAUAACCAACCCCAGGGAGCUAUCGAUGCUUUCAACCUAACAUUGGUGGAUUGUGGGUUGGAGGAUGCUGGGUUCGUUGGUAGCCCAUAUACUUGGACUAAUGGACAUGCUUGGAGGCGGCUUGAUCAGGUGGUCUGUAAUGCUUGUUGGUCUGAUUUUUUCUCGUCGUUUCAGGUUACUCACCUGAACCGUACAGCUUCGGACUAUUCUCCUCUGCUCUUUUCCUGUGACAAGGGUGCGACUAAGGGACCUCCCAGAUUUAAAUUUUUGCAUACUUGGCUCAGACAUCCGGGUUUCUUUGAUGUUGUGACUCAGUCUUGGGAUUCUCCAGUGGUUGGUUUCGGGAUGCGGGCAUUCCAACAGAAGCUUGUCCGUCUGAAGAAUUGUUUGAAAGCUUGGAACAAGGAAGUGUUCGGCAAUGUCUUUUACAGAGUGAAAGAAGCUGAGAAGGACAUAGCUCGGAAGAAGAGGCAGUACGACCUUUCUGGUUCUGUGGAGGAUAGGGUUAUGUUUUCAGAGGCCAGGGCUCAUUUGCAGCAUGCCUUGUUGUGCGAGGAGAGUUUCUUGAGACAGCAGUUCAAUGUCCGAUGGGUCCGAGAGGGUGAUGCCAAUACCCGCUUUUUUCAUGCGAUAGUUCAUUUUUAUCAAUGUCCUUUUGAUCAGAAAUUCAUGAAGAUUUCAUCCAUUAGUUUUUUUGUGGCCCAUUUAGUAGUGGCUGCAUUCUGUUUGUUGAAAUGUCUUAGAGAAGCUUGCAAGUUGCAAUACUAACAAGCUUAAUGAGCUGGAGAUAAAGUGGCAGUGAGCUGGAGUUAAGCUGACAUGGAGCAUGAAUCAGCAUUGUCUUAAGAGCAAUCCAGAGUUAGUUAGAGAGAAAGUAAAAGCAGAGGAAGAAGACAAUGAUCAUGUGAUAUAUGUACAGUACAAUAGCAGUAGCCGUUAGAUCAAUUGAUUUACAACCAUUACACCAUAAGCUUGCUACCCCAGCUAUGCACUGAUGCAUUAAUAGAAAAGAAAGUGAAUGAAAAAGAUGUGCUGUGCUCAAUCAAUUAAUCCUUUUGCGUCUGCCACCAAAACUUAAGGUAGUUAGAAAUUUUUUAACUAGUCAAAAUACCAAUAUUUCCAAAAGCUUUAAGCUUAUGGGACAACCAGUUGCUCAACAUCGACCUUGAUAUCAGAACCAAUCCGGAUGAGGAGUCAGGUGUUCGAAUUCCAUCAUUCAAAAUUGCCUUAUAAUUCCCGCGCUUUCUUGGCAAGAAAAGGCAGUGGAGGCCUUUUAUUAACCAUAAGGGGUGGAUUAAUUGAUGGAUUAAAAUCUUUUGGCAGUCAUUAUUUUACUGGUUGGAAUUUCUUUAUGUUCUACUAUUAAUGAAUUUUCCUUGCCAUUUUUAAGUCUGUGAUAUAAGUGUUCAUAAUGGUGCGUUGUCGAUGUAGUUCUCUCCAGCGAAUCAUGUGUUGAUGCACAUAUUGAAAAAGAGGUAAAGAAUCUAAAUUUCCUGCUUCACAGUGUAGAUGAUAGAAUUUUUCAGUUUAAAACGUGAGGAGUUUUAGUUCACAUGCACUCUGUUUUCGUAGUAGUCUUAAGAUAUGUUGUCACUUGUCAGUGUUCUUGUAGUUCCCUUUUAAGACUACAUCUUGUCUAGUUGUCUUUGUACUCAAAAGUAUGUAGUUAGUGGCGAUAAAUGGAGUGCUUUUGUAUGUUACUUUUUAAUGAAUGAUGGAAAAAAUAAUUCAUAAGCAUCUUAGCAUAACAUUUUCACUCAAUUAAUGCAUAUCAACAACGGUUUACUGAUGCUCUAUAUGUGACUCAUUUCCAGGAAGCCUUUAUCAGGUAUGCUUAACUCAUUGAAAACUUAUUAUUUUUCAUGUUUGGGCCAUCACAACAUUGACAUUGUUGAUGCUGUUCGUGUCUUUCUCACUGUACAUAAGAAUGUAAACUCUUUUUGGAAGGUAUAAGAUCAAGAUUCUGUUUGAAAUCUUUACCAUCAGCUUGCUUUUCAUUUGGUGGAUACUACUAUCGAUAAUGUCAUUUUUGUCAUCACAAACAUAACGCCUACUCUUCAUCUGUACAAAUCACCAUAAAUUUAAAAGAAGAAUAGACAUUAAUAAAUUUUUGGAGCAACAAAAGUGUAUAUUAACUAAUCUUCAUAUUUUUAAUAAUAAAAAAUAAUUUUUGACCCUUAGCAGCUGCUUCAACUUGAAGUUGACCUUCCCAACAUUUCCAACUGACAUUUUGUCCAUCGAUUGUUACAUUCAUCCUCAAAGCAUGCACUGAAGAAGGGAGGCUCAUACUCCACUGGCUGCAAGCCUGCAACAAUUAAGCUCAGGGAUUAUUAAAAAAAAACCACAAUUAAUUAAUUCCAAAUACAAAUGUAGAAACUUAAUUAAGACAUCAGAUAUCAGUUCUAUAAGGGGGUAUCAUCACAUCAUCAUAGUAGAGCGGCUUCACUGAUACAUUACGCUGUAACAAAUUAGGAAUAAUAGAUAUCUCAUUAGUUGAUAAUAAUGUGCCAUAAAUAAUAUUCAAUCAUGUGAAAAUACUUGAAAAAUUAAUCUUCAAAGUGCAAACUGAGACUAUAGCGAGUAUCACUACAGGCAUUUCCAAACCCUUAUUAUAUCUCGGACGCUUUUGCAAUUUACUAAGCAAUUUAGCAGGUGAGGUGCUGAAUGUAUAGUACAGAUGUGACAAGUUAAAUAAAUACAGUCUACACAAAAAUAGAAAGAUAAAUGAAAUUUAAUUAUUGAUGUUGAUUAAAUUAAAUGAAACUGCAUAUAAAGGAAGACAUGUUCCAAUGUCUGUAUAAUCCUCUCAAUAAAUAUCUCAAGAGUAAGAACAUAAAAAAAAAAGAGAAAAUAGAUAUGAAAAUAAAGCCUUAAUUACAGGAAUAUUCUUCAAUCAAAGGCCCUUCAUUUUCAUAAAGAAUUUUCCACACCGAAAAAACGAACUACAUUGCAUGCCUACCGAAAAAUUAAAUAAAAAUUGUUUUUAAUUUCGAAUAGCGAGCCCAAAUUUUCUAUUUCCAGAAGAAAUCUUAUGCUGUUGAAAAGUUUCAUAUUAGGAAUCAUUUACUGCUAGUGUCAGUGAAGUCUCCUUAGUGAUCUGCGGUUUCUUCACUCGUGAUCUACCAGACUUGAAACGAUAAUCAUAUAAUGAGAUAAGUAUUAACUGUUAAUUGAACUGUAGAAUCUCAAAAAUGAGUAAACGGAUUACAAAUUAAUUAUGACGAGUUUGUGUAUCCCUUGGAUUAAAAUAUCAAGAUUUAUUAGGUCUAUAUAAUUAAUUUGAUAUUUUAAUAUCUUCAAUUUGGUAUAUCAGAAUAUUAAGAUUUAUUGGGUCUUUAUCAAGAGCCGUCGCCAAUUGAUCAUUUCAUGGGGUUUGAUACAGCCACAGAACUAAGAUAAAAUUUCAUAGGUAGACUAUUACGGUUACUCCACCAUAAAACAAACGAUAUUUUGAAAAGAAAAUUAAGACUCUGGUAGUUAAUUUGCCUCGUAAUUAAUUAUUGCGGACAAACCAUCACAAAAAUUUUUCAAUUAUUAUUUACUUUUCCAUUUUCUUUAAGGGUGAGACUACUUACAUUUUAAAAAUUACUUUGAAUAUUUUUUAUUUUGAUAAAUUACUUUAUUACAAAAAUACUUAUCAUAUGAAUUACUAAUAAAGACUGUAUCUUUUAUAAACUAAGAUAAUAUUAUUACUCUGAACACUCAUAUAGCAUAGUCAAUAUUCAAUGUAUAAUUUCUUGCUAUAAAUUCUAAAAAUCUCAACCACAAUCUCUUAGAGAAUGUUUAAUUAAACAAGGGGCAAGUCAAUACUUAAAAUAUAUUUAGAACAUUUUUUGCUUUUUAUUUUUUUUUUAAAAGUAUGUUUUCGUAGUCUUUUCCUUCUUCUUUUUUUUAGGGGGGGGGGGGGGGAAGGGGACUAAAUGGCCCUUUUGUUAGGUUAAAAAGUUGGGGUGUGAAAAUCAAUAUUGUACAUAUUCUUUAAUAGACAAAAACUAAUAAUUAAAAUUAUGUUAAAGAAUUUGUUUAGAACAAAAUUUGAUUCUAUUGUUGUACAUACUAAAUUGUUAUUAAUUCAUUUUGUACAAAUGCUCGUUUAGUCCCUAUAUUUUAACUUUAGUGCUUAUUUAAUACCUAUAUUUUAAAAAACGCCUCAAGAUACCUAUACUAUUAAAUAUGUUGUACUCUUUUCCUUACUUUUUCUUAGCUUUUACAAUAAUACCCAACAAUAUUUUUUACAUUAAUUGUUUAAUCUAUAAAAAAAGUUACUUAGCAAAUUAACUAAUAAUUAAACAUCAAUAUCAAACAAGCGGUACUUUUUAUACCCUUACAAGAAUCUUGCUGAUCAUUAUUUAUAAAUAAAUUAAUAAUAGCCAAUUUAAAGUAAUGUUUAAUAUCCUUUCAACAACAUUACCAAUAAUGUUUUGUUAAAAAAUUAAUUUACUAAAUUAAUCCUAAAUAUAAAAUAAUAGCAACUAAUUUUUAUUUUACUUUUAUGGCUAAUUUAAUAAAUUUAUUUUUUUCAUUAAUAUCUUUAAGAAUAUUGUUGCAAAGAUAUUAUUAUAAAAGUGAAGAACAAGCUCAAUUAAAAUAAAUAAUGCAAGCUAGUACUAAAUACCUAUUAUAAUUUUAGAAUAGUUUAUUAAAAUAAAAAGGGAAAAGGACAUCUACACAUGCAUUAUUUAUUAUGCAUUACUAAAUACCUAUUUAUUAUACUGUUAAACUUGAGCCGUUCAUCCGUUAUCUAUACAUGCAUUAUUUAUUAUGUUACCUCAGCAUCAUUUUAUCUCCAAGUGCAAAUGCUGAAAAUUUUUAUCAAUCAAUACACCUGGUGAGUCCCUAAAAUUUGCACCCUAACAACAACAGCUAGCCACAAUUAGUCAUGAACACCAAAAAGUCCGCGCAGGAUGUGUAAAAUGGACAUGUCUAUGACAUCAUUUUUAUAACUAUAAAAGUAAUAAAAUAUUCUCCUAAAUAUAUUAACCAAUGCGAUUUUGAUUAUUAAAAAAUAUAAUUUCAUUAAAAAUUCAUCGGUCUUACUAAAAUAUGUAAGAAACACGUAAAGUAAUGCACAUAACUUUUUUUUUAUUUUUUUAAAGGAGGGGUGCAACAUGAGGACUUCUCAAGAGGUCACUCAUCUUAGUACUGUUCUCGCCCAAGCAUGCUUAACUGCAGAGUUCUGAUGGGAUCCCGUGCAUUAGUGUUGGUAUGGUCGCACCCAAGCAAUGCACAUAACCUUAAUUUUUCAAAUGUUCUUCAUUUUUUUUUAAUCCUUUUGGAUAUCGUGAGAUCUUUAAUAAGGUGGGAAUCAGAGGGGGCCAAGUUCGUUUGGACAGUCCUUCAAAAUAUAUUUUUAACUAGUCAAGAAAAAGAUUAGGAGUUGUAAUAUUAACGAAAUUUUAGUAUUGAUAAAUAUGUACGACAGAUUAUUAAUACUAAAUUGAACUUAAAAUGUAUUUAUUUAUUACUUUGAUUUUAUUAUAAUUCUAUUUAUUAGAAAACAAUAAACUGAAAUCAAUUUUUGUUCAGAGUCCAACAAUAAAAUAAUCGAAAGGGCCAUUUCCGAGACUAUUUUUUAAACAUUAAGGUCUAUGUCCAUAAUUAAAUAAAUUAUGGAAUAUAAAUAUCCUUUUCCUUCAUAAUUACCGCCAAAUUACUCCCAAUCUCCACGCGCAUUAAAUUUGGUUGGUAUGCUUUGAUCGUCGGUUCGUCUUCAUGUUUACAAUUAUUUACUUUUUGGACCACGUUUGGCACAUGCCGAAAUUGAAUCUUAGCCCUUAAUCUUACCGACUAAUUGUACGAUAAAACUUGAACCGUUGAUGCCUUAUCUAUACUUUGCAACGUCACAAUCACCCCCGUUUGGCACAUGCCGAAAUUGAAUCUUAGCCCUUAAUCUUGCCGGCUAAUUGUACUAGAGAACUUGAACCGUUGAUGCCUUAUCUAUACUCUGCAACGUCACAACUACCCACUUUGGCACCGUAGGCGACUUGAUCUCUAUAUAUCAUGCCAAAUCAGAAGCAAGAACUCGCUCAAGUACUUAUUUUUUAAUAUAGUGCACUCGAAGCUAGCAAAGAUCUUUUCUGACUUGAAGAAUAUGAAAACUCUUGCUGGCGCAGGUAUUUAGGCCUACUUCAGUUUCUUUUUUGAGAAGGGCCAACUUCAGUUGAAUAUCAUUUAUAAUUCUUUUUUUAAUAUAUGCAUUUAUGAAUAUAUUUUUCAAUAUAAAAUUUUUAGGUAUGAGCGAUCCGUCAGAAGGUUUGGUACUCCCUUCUAGUAUUGCUGAUGAUGAUGUUGGAAAUGACAAUCUUGAUCUUAUUGUUAUUCCUCAAUAUGGGAGAAAUCCUGAUUAUUAUGGGUAAGUGUCUGCAAUCUGGAUGAUGAUAUAUGUAAUUAAAUAAAAGGAUGGGUACAGUUAUUACCUAUCAAUCAUAAGAGUGUCAAUUUAGUUCAGUUCACUAAUAAAAAUCUCUUAUACAAGAGAUUAUCUUUGUUUGCGUUCAUGUACUUUGUCUUCUUUAAUUAAUAAAUAAAAUUAUUGUGUAUCAAUGUGUUGAUUAAAUUAGUCCAUUAAUAGAUAUAAAAUCAUUUGAAUUUGUCCACAUAUUAGUUUAGUUAAUUGUGCUCUCUUUCUUCUUGAAUAUUUGUCAAACAAAGUCUACCUAUUAGUUAGCUAAUAAUCGCAGCUCGCAGGGAACCAAGAUCUUUAUAAUUAAUUACGAACGUUUAUGCUUCUUAAAUGGCUUGUGUCAUCGUGAUAAUGCCAUUACAACCUGUUAUAUAUAUAUAUAUAUAUAUAUAUAUUCAAAAGCAUUCCAACUCUAUGAACCUUCUAUUACACAAUUUUCAAAUGGUAUAAACAUCUAUUUUAAUUAGAGUAAAAUGUUGCUUGUUAGAAUGGCCCGUGAGUCAAUCUAAUUUGCGCUGGGACAAAUUAAUAGAACUUUAAAACUUUUCGACGGGUUUUGAUAAGACUUUAACUUGUCAAACCGUGGGUUGCUGUACGACGGGACUUGAAAAAAAACAUGUUGAGUUCUUUAUAAUUAAUGUUUAAAAUAUUUCAUUAAUUUUAGAGAAUAUUAAAAUAAAAAAUAAGUAAAUUCACGUUGAUCGAGAAAAAUACUGAAAUAUCGAUGCGUGUUUAGGACGAUAUAGAGGAUCUAUUUGAUCACAUUUAAUUCGCAUGCAACAGUAAUUCUGUCACAUUCUAUCACAGAUUCACGAAAGCUUCUCAUCAAAGUAUAGAAACAGAAAACUGUAAAAUUUAACGGGGGAAAACCUAUUAAACAAGAAAACAAAGCAGCCCCUCCGUACUGUGAAAUUACUUGCAAGCCAGUUGCGGUUGAGUUUGGGAAUGAGGGGCUGAGUUUGAGAUAAAUGGAGGGGAGAUAAGUUUGACUAAAAGGGGAUUCACAGGAAGACUUUAAGGGAGAAGAGACGAGUUUGAGAAAAAUUAGGAUAGAGAUUUAGAGGAGAUGAUUUGGGGUCUCAAAUUAACUAAUCCAUUCUUACAAUCACACAAACCGAUGGAAACCCAUUCAGAUUUUGAAAUAAUGAUGGUGACAUUAGUAGCUUAAGCCAAAACAUAAUUUAAAAAUAACAUAUAUAUAUAUAUAUAUAUAUAUAUAUAUAUAUAUAUAUAGUCAUUCUCUAGUGUAGGUAUCUUCAUUUAUUUUUCAUGCGAACACAUUUUAAAACCGCGGAGUUUAAGAGAGUUAGUUUUUAACUCUUUAAAACCGCAUAGUUUAAAAGUUUAUCCGUAUUAAAAAAAAUACGGGCGUCCGCACCUGAGAAUGAUUUUAUAUACACACACGUAUAAAGUAAUUUUUUAAUUGUGAAUUAUCAACCAUAUUAAAGUCAAGAGAAAGUUUAUAAAAAAAACCACCGACGCUAAUACAACGUAUUUUGUUGUGUAAUGUUUUGAAAUAUUCCUGCAAAUAAAUGGAUACUGAAAAUGAUCAUAUUAUUUUUAGUGAUUAAUGAUUCUUAUCGAGUAGAUUCCUGAUCUAUGAAAUGACUUACAUGAGCAUAUUCACCCUUUGGGAGUGGGAAACAAGUAAAAUUAUGUGUGCUAGAGGAGCCAAUAUCGAAGAGUUUAAGUCUAUGCUUCUCGUAAUCAAUUUCCAUAUCAAAACAAAAUGGAGUUGAUGAUAAUCUUGAUUUUACUAAAAAAAAAAAGGAAUAAUAGAUGUCUCAUUAGAAAAUAUUAAUGUGCCAUAUAUAUAAUAGUUCAAUCAUGUAAAAAUACUUGAAAAAUUAAUCUUGAGAAUGCAAAAUAAGAACUAUAGCAAGCACCUCUACAGGCAUAAAUUAAAAGAAUUGCAACGUGUACAUGAAGACUGCUAGACAUAGAAAAAAGUGAUAAAAAAAAAAACUGAUAUAUGAUAAAGAGCAUAAUAGAGAUAGUUGUUAUUAGGGAUGGUAAAAUUCUCCAUGGGUUGGGGUUCUCUAGGGCUCCAUGAUACAAACUCUUAAAAUAAUUAAAAUUAUUUAUUUUAUUUUAUGGUAUUAGUUAAUUUUGAACUAGUCAAAAGUAGUUGCACUUAUUUUGUGGAAUUACAUGUAAGUAAUGGAGCAUUAUGUGAAAACAAGCCCAAUGUUACUAAUUUUUAGGUUGUAAUCUUAAAUAAGCUUUAUUAUAUAAAGCUUGAUGUUAGUCAAUGAAAAGUAUCAUGAGUUAAUUAUUUGGCAACAUAAAAGUUGUAAUUGGGAGUUUAUUGGUUUCUCGAAUAACUAGUAUUUAUUUGGAGAUUUGGGUUUCUUCAAAUUAAUCCCAUUUGUCAUCUAAUUUUUUCUGUUUCAUUUGAUUUCUCCUUAUAAACAGUAGCAUUCGUAUCAUUCCACCCCAAAUGGGGUGAAUUUUGAAUAAUUUUUGGAGAAUGAGGUGGGGAAUUAGAGAAAAAUAAUCUCCAAAUUCUUAAUAAUAUGGGGUUUGAUUUUGUACUUCCCACUCCACAGUCCACACCCACUCCAGUCCCCAUUACAUAUAAAUAUUUUUUAAUUUUUAUUUAAUAAAUUUUUUAUCAAUUACAAUGUCAAUUAAUAAUUUUUUUUAUUUUCACUUGAUAUAAAUGAGUUAUGACUAAAAGAAAACCCUAUAAUAUAAUUUUUAUUCAACCCUAAAACAUUGUUAUAUUUUCUUUUCUAUCUUAAAAUACCACUCUCUUCAAACAUUUUUCAAUUUUGAUAUUAUUUUAAGAUAUUGUUUCAGACAUUUGGAGAUUUUUUUAAAUAAUUUGAAUACUUCAUAAUAUAGUAAUGAUUUUAUUGAACUCUUUAAUUUUUAAUUUAUUGAAAUCAUAUAUCUAUAUCUACUAUAAAAUAAAAAUAAAUGGGGAAUGAGGAGGGAUGGGGAUGGGGAUGAGGAAAUCAUUUCUCAUGUGGGGAUUCCUUAUACCCACCCCACUAAAUUCAUUGAGAAAUGAAGUGGGAAUUAGAGGCAAAAUUUUUAACACGGUGGGGAAUGGGAUAGCCUUCCUACCCCCACCCCACCCCAUUGCCAUCUCUAGUUGUUAGAUGGUGGAUAAUUUUACAUAAAUUAAUUGUAUUAAACUUAUUAUCCGAAUAAAAUUGUUUUAAAUAAAAUUUUAAUAAAUGAAAUUUUGGAAAUAUGUAAUAUUAUUUUUAAUAAUAGUGAUACACAAACUCGUCAAAAUUAAUUUGUCAAUCAUCUGUAAAUUUUACCAACUCUAUAGUUCAAUUAACAUUUUUCUAAACCUCAUUUUAUAUUUAUCGCUUUUGAAGAUUAAAAUAUCAUGAUUUAUUAUGUCCAUAUAAGUAAUUUGAUAACCUCAUUUCAGUAUAUCAGAAUAUCAAGAUUUAUUAGGUCUUUACUUGCGCUUUUGGCUGCAAGAGCCUUCGCCAAUUGAUCAUUUUAUGGGGUUUGACAUAGCCACAAAAUUAAGAUAAAGGUUCAAAGACAGUAUUACAGGUUCAUCCACCAUAAAACAAAUGAUAUUUUGAAAAGAAAAUUAAGACCCUAUUAGUUAAUUUGUCUCGUAAUUAAUUAUUGUCGACAAGCCAUCACAAACUUUCUUCAAUUAUUCCUACUUUUCUAAAAAAAUCUUUAAUGAUAAAAUUAUUUGCACUCUAAAAAUUAUUCUUUAACAUUAUUUUAAUAAAUUAUUUUAUGAGUGAUGAUACAGCCACAAACUCUUGUACAAACUUAUUUCGUACAAACUGAUGUGGCAUCAAUUCAUUGGUUGAAUGAAAAUACAAAAUAAUGAAAAUAAAUCAUGUGGGCCAAGAGAUAUUUAAUUUAACCAAUUUUAUCAUGCCACAUCAGUUUGUACAAAAUAAGUUUGUACAAGAAUUUGUGGCUAUAUCAUUACUCUUAUUUUAUUACAAAAAUACUCAUCAUAUGAAUUAUUGACAAGGAUUCUCUCUUAUAGGCUAAUAUAAUAUAAUUAUUCUGAAUACUCAUAUGGCAUACUCACUAUUCAAUAUAUAAUUUCUCUUGUCAUAAAUCCUAAAAAUCUUAUUUUCAAUCUCUUGAAUAAUGUUUAAUUAAACAAGGAGCAAAUCAAUACUAAAAAUACAUUUUGAACAUAUUUUUGCUUGUUAAUUUUUUUUAAAAAGUAGUUUUUUUAAAUAAGCAUUUAAUUCAGAAGAUGCAUGCUUGGAGUUAUGAUUUUGGAUGUAGAGAAGAUUUGAUCGGAAACGAGAAAUGGCGGCAGCAAGCUUAUUGAAUCGUCGUUCUGCGAAGAAGAGUUUGCUUUUUGCUGUUUCUAGUGGAAUGUCACUUAAUAAUCAAAACAGGCUUCUUCUUCUUUCUUUUUUAAAACCUAUAGCUUUAUGGUUUAUGCUUAGUAACAAAAAAAGAGUCAAAUAUCAGUGGUCUCUAUAACUAACAGUGAGCAAGAUUCGAUUUUGAAAAAUCUUGUACCAAUUUGCUUUUGUGCUAUUUUAUAUUCAAUUGACGAAAGAAUUAAUGCUGUAACUGCUACCCUUGUGUCGAUGACUACAUUAAUAAUGCCCCCAAAUUAAAGCCCACAUAAAAUUAAAUAGUAUACUCUAGCAAAUUAAAUUAAGUCAUAUUGUAAGGUAUCAAGAAUUAAAUAUUCUAUUAGCAAAGUCAAAACGUGAAAUCUAUCCAAACCAAGCCCACCGGUUUGUCCAUGAAAAUUAAUUAUUUCUUCAUUAUUAUCGAAUUAAUAUCUUCACUUGAUAACAUGGUUUACGAGGUAGGUCGCACAUUAAUUAUAUGAUUACUUCAUAGUUAUCCAAUAUCUUCGUACACCUUUUAUGACUAACCUAUUGGUCUAUCCAAAUUAAUAGUCACUUAAUUUAUUGUGGUCCAAUAUCAUCACUUGAUAAGAUUAAAGCAUAUAUACCCACAGCCCCCUAUAUGCCUCUUAAUUAUAUAUCAUGACUUUGUCCAGCAAGAGAGAAAGAGAGAAAGGGUAGGACUCUUUUCGAGCUUUUACAAAUCUACGGUAGAAUAAGAUGAUUUAAGUAAAAAUAAUUUAAAAAAAAAAAACCAAAUACCAAAAUUAACUUUCAAAAUUUUAAAAUUAUUUUCUGCCAUCUCAAAAACAGUGUCAAAUGAAACCUUUUAUCCAACUAAAAAAAAAUAGUGAAAAGUAGUGGGAAUUUUAUUAACCGCACAAAUCAUAAGUCAAAAAAUAUGAACAAAAUAGUUUGUUCUUCGGAACUCUAAUAAAUUGGAGGCAUGUGCUGCCCGAAACCAAAUGAUGCAUCAAGAUUUGUUCUUUGAAAAAUAAAUUAAUUUGUUAGUAGAUAGUUGCGUGUUUUACUUUCAAAAAAGGCUAAAAUAAUUUCAGGCCUUGGAUGCAUCUAACGGCUGAAAUCAUAAUAUCAAGAUUUAUUCUUAAGUCUUUGUUUGAUAUCAAGAUUUUUGAUUCAACCGCACAAUUAAGUUAAAGUUUCGUAUGCAGACUAUUAGGGAUUCAUCCAGGUAUGCAACAAACAGAUGAAAUGAUAUUUUGAAAAGAAAAUUAAUUUGUCUUGUAAUUAAUUAUUGCCGGCAAACUUUAUCUCAAAUCGCACACUUCUUUUCAAAUAUUAUCUACUUUUCUAGACUCUACGAUUACUGUCUACAUUUUUCAAUGAAUUAUUGCUCGGUAACUAGUUUUUUUACAAUCAUUUUUUUCGCGGACCAGAUCGUGUUUCGCACUAAUUGCAAUCAUUUAACCAUAUAUGGCCGUUAAUCGUACCCAGCCAUUGCGCGAAAAAACAUCAGCCGUUGAUCGUUUAUCUGUACAAUUUUUUAAUAUUUAUAAUAUUUUACUUAUAAAUCAUGAUUUUCCUUAAAGUUGUGGAUUCCUCCACUGAAUAGAAAUGGUUGUGAUUUAUUUGUCAAUUCAAAAGUUCCAACAGUAUUUCAAUGUUGUGCAUUUUCAGCUAAUUAGUCAAAGAUAAUCUAGUGCAUCUUCAGAAUUUUUAUCCCUAAAUUUACCAUUACACAUUAUUUCAACAACCUAUCUACUUUAGGGUAUCAAGCUCUUGUAGAAAUAAAUGACCAAUCACCAAGUUUCAAAACCAUGGUGUGGACAUAUGUUAAGCAAUUCUUUAAACCCAUCCCAACAUUGGUAUAAUGUUUCUCCAUUUUUUUUAGUGAAAUAAGUGAUUUGCCUUUUAAAAGAAUUGGUUCUAUGAGGUGGAAAGAAUUUUUUCAAAAAUUAUUCUUACAUGUUAUUCGAAGUUCUUAUUGAUUCAGAUCUAAAGUUUUAUAGCCAAGUUUUAGCUUUAUUUUUUAAUGAAAAAAGAAAAAGUUUCAACCUAACUAUGUUCAUGCUACAAUUUUGGUUUAUAUAUGUAUUACAAACUUCCUCAAAGAUGCAAGUAUGGAUUCUCAGAUUCUAAACCAUGAAAUGUUGGUAAAAGUUGGAUAAUACAUGGUUUAAAGUUGAAUCGAGAAGCCUCUGGAGGUAGGGGUGGCAAAUAUACCCGCCCAGUCUGGAUCCGGACCGUACUCGGGCGUUUUGGGCAUCACUUGAUAAACCCAGAACCCGGAUUUUAUUUCAAAAAAUUAUUAGAAAAUAUAUAUUAUUUUAAAUAUUUAUAUUUAUUUGACUCAUUUAUUACACAUAUAUAAAGUUUUAAACACUUAAAGUUCAUAAUUUCAUGUCAAAUUUUAUUAAAAAUAAAUUUAAAACUUAUAAAAUUACCAAAAAAAUACACAUAUAAUAUUAAAAAAAUAUAAAAUUCGGGUACCCGGAUUAAAGCCCAGCACAACCCGGCCCGGGCAUCUAUGCAUCCGGGUCGGGUCCGGUCAUUGCGAUACCCGGACCCGGGCCAGGGUUUUGCCAACCCUAUCUGGAGGAAAUACUAUACAGCUCCGAUUCUAGUUGGAUUCAUGUAGUCUCUCAAGAUUCUUCGUCGAUUCUGAUCACGUCCAGGUUGAGACUGAUUGUCUCCCUGAUAAAUUUGAGGAUUAGGUUCGCCCAAAAGUUUUUCAUCUUGGAUUUCGUCCAUAAUUAGUGAUGGAGAUUGAGAUCUACGAAUUAACCUGCCACCUGAAGUUCGAGACCAAUGUGUCAUGAAAUGGUUAUAUCACAAAGGUAAUAUUCAAAUAAAUUAGUAACAAAAGAACUAAAUGAAAAUUGCACAAAACAAAAAUAAAAAUUAAAUAUGCAAAUAAUAAGAGGAUGAAUACCCCGAAAUCUGGGUUGUGACUUUUGAUCAUUGUCGCAGCAUGAAGUUUGUUGUGACCUCUAGUUCACAUGCACUCUGUUUUUGUAGUUGCCGCAUGUCAAUGUUAUUGUAGUUCCCUUUUUAGGCUAUAUCUUGUCUAGUUGUCUUUGUGCUCGAAAGUGUGAACUUAGUCAGCGUCGAUAAAUGGAGUGCUUUUGCAUGUUACUUUUUAAUGAAUGGUGGAAACAAUAAUUCAUAAGCAUCUUAGCAUAACAUUUUCGCUCAAUUAAUGCAUAUCAAUAGCGGUUUACUCAUGCUCUGUAUGUGACGCAUUUCUAGGAAGCUUAUAUAUGGAGUUCAUUCGUUUCUGAGGUAUGCUAGAUUUGCAUGGGAAAAAUGAUAAUUUUGACCUGUUUAUUGUCCCUCAAUAUGGGAGAAAUCCUGACCAUACUGGUUAGGUACAUGUAAUAUUUGUUUAUUGCCCUUUAAUAUGGGAGAAAUCCUGACCAUACUGGUUAGGUACAUGCAAUAUUAAUCUUUCGUUUUAUGUUUAAUUAAAUAAAAGGAUAGGUAAUGUUAUUACUUAUGAAUCAUGUCAGUGCCAUUUUGGUUCAGUUCAACUAUUAAUAUCUCUUAGAAUGUUAAAGAAAUUAUCACUGUUAGUGUCCAUGUACUUCGUCUUUUUUAAUAAAUAAAAUUAUCACGUGUCAAUGUGUUAUUUGUUUUGAUCUUUCAACAAAAUUCAGUUUAAUUAAUUAUGCCCUCUUUCAUCACGAAUGUGUGUGUGUAUAUAUUUGAAAAAACUAAAACAAUGAGGGGCACUAUAACUUUUUAUUUGCCAAACAUGGGAUUGUGUAAAAUUAAUACAAUGAGAGGCUUUAAUACAACAACCAAACAAGCUCUUAAGGGAAAAGGACACACACCCCCAUGCCUAAUAUUUAAUAAAGCGACAGAUAUAUUUGUUAAUUUAUAAAGUUUAUUAACUAAUAAAUGCCAAAUAUACUAAUUUUUAUUGUAGUAUAAGCCCAAGUUCAUGGUAGAGAAAACAGGCCUAGGCCCUUUGUAGGAUUGUCCAAGUUGGAACAGGUCGAACUUAAGACUUUUUUAACAAUUCAAUAAAAUAAAACAAUAGCUAAAAGGUAAAAACAACUUAAGUUAAAGAGGAUUUUAUUAAUUUUUUCUCUGUUCAACUAAUUAUACAACAAUAUUUAUUUAAAAAAAAUUGAAAUAGCCUCCAACAAAAAAAAUGAAUUUUACAAAAAUUUACAGCCUACAAAAUGUAGGUUCAAUUGUUCAACAUAGCAUUACUAUAACAAUAAUAAUAAUAAAAGACAUAAUUAGCAUCAGAUUCCAAAUCCAAUAAUCCAAUUUCCAUAAACACUAUCACACUAACAUUUUUUUUCUUUCUUAUUUUUCCAUUCCAUUUUUUUCAAACUUAAUUCGUAAAUUAAAUUUAAUUAUUUAAAGAAAGAAUACGUUUGAGAUUUGAUGCACAAAACAUAUAUAAAUUAUUCAUAAUUUCAAUAUUAGGAAAUAAAUGUUUAGGGGGAUUGAAUUGAUGUCCAAAAUUCAAAUGGCCUAAAUAUGACCCCUUUAUAUAUAUAUAUAUAUAUAUACAGUUAUAGAAUAAUUUUUCAAUGCUGAAUCAUUGACUAUAAAGUCAAGACAAGGUAAAAAAAAAAAAUCAACGUUAAUACAACGUAUAUUGUCGUAUAAUGUUUUGAAAAAUUCCUACAAAUAUAUGGAAACUGAAAAUGACCAUAUUAUUUCUGGCGAUUAAUGAUUCUUGUGGAGUAGAUCCCUGAUCUAUGAAAUGACUUACAUGAGCAUAUUCACCCUUUGGGAGUGGGAAACAAGUAAAAGUAUGUGUGCUAGAGGAGACAACAUUGGGGAGUUAAGUCUGUGCUUCUCGUAAUCAAUUUCCAUAUCUAAAGAAAAUGGAGUUUAUAAUCUUGCUUUUACUAACCUCGUUAACUACUUUGUGAACAAGUUUUUGAUAGACAAAUCUCAAACAUCCAGUGUUUGAUUUUAAGGCCUUUAAGUUUAUGUACUUUCCAUAUUAGGAUCAAUGUCAGAUCUUUAACAACUUUUUUAGAUUUGUAAGUACCUUGGUAUCUUUAGGCCUUCAAUUAUUAAUUUCAGCAAAAAGGUUGAGAAGGAGGAAUUUCUUGAAGAUACGGAGCUUUAUCGUGAUCCUACCACUACACUUCACUAGUAAUAUACUCUCUAAGAUUCUUUUAUUGACAUUGUUUGUUCAAUCCCUUCUUAACCUUCUAGGAUACGACUUUCCUCUUAUUAUACUAUUAAAACAUUUAAUCCUUGAUAUAAAAACAUUUUUAUAGGCCCGAAGUCAGUCCUACAUCAAAAUGCAGAUCUUCAGAAAUAAAUGUAAACCUCUGUUGUUUCAAAAAUUUAAUUCAUGUUAUUUUUCUUUUAAAUUUAUGGUGAUUUGCAGUUCAAGAGUAGUCGUUGGCAUUGUUAUGAUACUAUGAUAGCAGUGCAUGCAGCAAAAGAAAAACAAGUAGCCGGGUAACUAAGCUCCUUGAUUAGUUAUUUUAUUUUUUGUUUGCCUCUAGUCUAACUACAAUUGCCAAUUGUAUGCCCCAAAAUGGUUGCAAUGGUUACAUCUCGAGGGGAGACUUUCGUAGUGAACUUCAACAUUGAAUCCAUAAUCAGAUAGUUCGACUGUAAAGAUUUCCAGCAAAUCACCAUGAAAAUCCACCUUUAUUAAAAUCUUGGCAAAAUGGCCAUACUUUUUCUCUCUUAUUGCCUGAUGAAUUUGCAAAGAAAUGCCAACUUCUCUAGCCACCGUCAUCAGAAUUCUAGGAUGCCAGUACUCCACUCUGGGAUCAUAUGUUCUUAAGGACGUGACUGGAUAGUUGGCUCACAAAGGUUGAAAUUCCAUCACCAUUUGUAUAAGCGAAAGAACCCCUGAGGUAGUUUAUAAUAUUGGGGCAAGAGAAAACAUUUGGUGAAAACCAUCACCUAUAAACUCAGGAAUAUUCAUGUUGUAUUAUCAAGAAUCAAUAGCAUAAUUAUGCGGAAGCGUAUCUGAAUUCAUAACGCUUAAUUCCUCUCUAGAGUAGCGUGGUUGGCCUUUCAGAUCUACACGUUCUCCUAUAGAGUCCUUUAGUUCUCUCUACGCUCUCUCUCUAAUAAUGAGAUAUCAUAAAGAAUGGAAAGAAUACAUGUAACCUGAGGACCAUAACCACUUAUAUAGACAACUUAUUCCAGUUGUCACAUGAUAUUCAUAAUUCUGCCUAUCAUAGAAUUAGAAUAUUAUUGGGUCCUACACAUUAAGGCUCACACUAUAUUAGAUACAUUAAAGCUCAUAAUACCGAAAAUCUAAAUAGAUCACUUUUAAUUGAGCUUAACCUUAUACAACAGUCUGCAACACAUAAUUAUUCACAUAUAAGCCCAACGUUGGAUUAAGGAUCCAACAAUAUUGAAUUAAAAAAUCCAACAAUCUCCCACUUGGGCUAUAUGUGUAACCUUAUAAUUAUGUUUUGCAAAAAUAACCAUAUGAGCUCAACCUUACUGUCAUUAUAGAAAUAUAUAUAUAACUAAUCCGGUCCAUAAAUCAUACUAACGUAAGAUUACCCGUACCUCUAGCUUUUACACAAUAACUACAGAACAAUUAUAUUUCAACAUAAGUAUAAGAAAAGGUGCACGCAUAAGUACACAGAAUGGACUGUAGACCGUAAUAUCCGGAUUCAUAAGUACAAGAGGCAGAACUACAGAACAAUUAUAUUUCAACAUAGCAUCAUUAUCUAAGAAAAGGUGCACGCAUAAGCAUUAUACGAUGAAGCCUACUUGCUUAAUUUAUAAUGGAAGGAAAGCCAACCAUGAUGACUCGUCUGCCAUAAUGUUUAAUGUCAGAGAAAAAGAAAAAAUUAUUUUGCUAAUAUGCAUUCUUCUUAGUUCUAAGACUAUCUAUCAAGAAAAUUGACUUCAUUAAGAUCGUUGCCUUUCAAAGAAUUCAUCAACUGUACAAAAAGCAACUUCGAACAACCAUUAAAUGCUCUAUUGAAAAAUCAAUAUCAUAGGUCCGCACGUUUAAUAUUUUCAUUCCUGGCAACAGAGAAAAAGACUGCACCUCUCCCAGAGUCACGUCCUAAGAUAGUUGUCCAAAGCCAAUGCAGUUUCUACCACGUCUUAUGUCUCGACGAACAUGAGCUUAUACUGCAUUAUUUCCUGCAAGAAGAAGGCCAUCAGGUUUCCCUCCCAAGAAAACAUGAGCUUCUACUUAAAUGUGAAUUAAUUAUCAAGUUAUAACAGAGAAAAACAAAGAAAAGAUGCCAAAAUGUUUGAAGACAGACUGAUAAACUAAAAGGAGACGAGUGGCAAUUAUUUCAUCCAUGUACAAGUAACUGAGAAAAAAACAUACAAUCCCAUCAGGGACAACGGAGGCCAUCUCCACCAAGAGCUUUCCAUAAUUAAUUUAUAAACAUACAAUCUCAUCAGGCUUUAUGGCGAGUGAAGCUUCACGGCAGCUAAGCUGCAACCGAAAUGUCAAAUAAACAAAGAGAUCAAUGGAGAUUUUAGCAUAAAAAUUAACAGCUUGUGAAACAAAGAUGACAGCAUAACAAUAUGCACUAUUUUUACAUCAGAAGCCAUAGUAUUGCAUCAGCAGUGGAAGGCGACAACUAACUAAAGAAUGAUGAAACUCAUUUUUCAUAGCAAAAAUAAUGAUAUUGAAUCCAAGCACAAUAAAUAUUAUUAACUUCAGAUAAGCCAUCUAGCUAAAAUAGCAAAAUAAAUAUGUUAGCACUCUAAUAGCUCAAGAUACAGAGCUACCAAAGCACUGCCCAAGAUUUCUUGCUCACAAACUGCCUCAACUAUCAGCUUUAUGCCAGCUGAUAUACACUCCAGUUUACACAGAUUAAAAAGCCACGUGUAUAACGGCCUCAUAACAGAUUUGAUUCCCUUCUCACGUGCGUUUUCACGUGCUUUACUUAAACCAGCUUAAAACGAUCUUGGAUGAUGCCGUUUUAAACAGUAAGUUGAGCACAUGUUUAGCUCGUGACUUCUUGAGGCAUUUGAACCCAAUCUGAAACGCUUCCGUUUAACCCUUCAAGUUUUGUAUUCAGCAGAUUAAUCCACAAAAUCAAAUCUGGAAACCGAACGAAGGCCAUUCAAAUUUUUUCGGAAGACCUUAAAAUUGAACAUUCUGGAGGCAAAGGGAAGUAAAACACGUUCCAAAAUUUCGUACCUGUCUGUAAAACCUCCGUCAAAAUAUGAACAAAGUUUGCCCUGUAGCUUUUUCCAUCUUUUUUAUUUUUUACAAGACCAAAACUGGAUAACCGAGGGUCACCAUCCUGCGAUGAAAUGAAAAUUAAUUAAUGAACCUGUACAAUCAAAUGCAUAUGAACAUGCUGAAAAAUCAUAUGAAGCAGCCACAAGUUCCCUGACCUAUAUAUUUCUCCAGUAAUUAAAAUUAUUCUUAUAGAAGCAAUGAAAUGAUUAGCAGACUUUUACCUUUCAGUUUGCGUACAAGUCCCCUUACCCAUGUAGUCAUCCUCACUCUUUGCAUAAAUGUAUUGCAACUCCAGCAAUGACCCUAAUCUUGUAAGAACAGGAAUGUGUAGCAAUCGAUAGUCUGGUGAUUCACUGCCAGCUUAGCCAUUCUCAUUUCUCUGACCCUGUGGUUAUUUCUUAUGUUUAUGCUAGCUGCCUUAUGUCUAUUCGAGAGGAUCUAUGGGAUGCCGUAGUGACAUACUUUCAUAGCCAUGAUCGCCCUUGGAUUGUUGGUGGGGGACUUUAAUGUUGUUCAGUCUGUUUCGGAGAUUUCUGGUGGGCAUAACCAACCCUAGGGAGCUAUUGAUGCUUUCAACCUAACAUUGGUGGAUUGUGGGUUGGAGGAUGCUGGGUUCGUUGGUAGCCCAUAUACUUGGACUAAUGGACAUGCUUGGAGGCGGCUUGAUCAGGUGGUCUGUAAUGCUUGUUGGUCUGAUUUUUUCUCGUCGUUUCAGGUUACUCACCUGAACCGUACAGCUUCGGACUAUUCUCCUCUGCUCUUUUCCUGUGACAAGGGUGCGACUAAGGGACCUCCCAGAUUUAAAUUUUUGCAUACUUGGCUCAGACAUCCGGGUUUCUUUGAUGUUGUGACUCAGUCUUGGGAUUCUCCAGUGGUUGGUUUCGGGAUGCGGGCAUUCCAACAGAAGCUUGUCCGUCUGAAGAAUUGUUUGAAAGCUUGGAACAAGGAAGUGUUCGGCAAUGUCUUUUACAGAGUGAAAGAAGCUGAGAAGGACAUAGCUCGGAAGAAGAGGCAGUACGACCUUUCUGGUUCUGUGGAGGAUAGGGUUAUGUUUUCAGAGGCCAGGGCUCAUUUGCAGCAUGCCUUGUUGUGCGAGGAGAGUUUCUUGAGACAGCAGUUCAAUGUCCGAUGGGUCCGAGAGGGUGAUGCCAAUACCCGCUUUUUUCAUGCGAUAGUUCAUUUUUAUCAAUGUCCUUUUGAUCAGAAAUUCAUGAAGAUUUCAUCCAUUAGUUUUUUUGUGGCCCAUUUAGUAGUGGCUGCAUUCUGUUUGUUGAAAUGUCUUAGAGAAGCUUGCAAGUUGCAAUACUAACAAGCUUAAUGAGCUGGAGAUAAAGUGGCAGUGAGCUGGAGUUAAGCUGACAUGGAGCAUGAAUCAGCAUUGUCUUAAGAGCAAUCCAGAGUUAGUUAGAGAGAAAGUAAAAGCAGAGGAAGAAGACAAUGAUCAUGUGAUAUAUGUACAGUACAAUAGCAGUAGCCGUUAGAUCAAUUGAUUUACAACCAUUACACCAUAAGCUUGCUACCCCAGCUAUGCACUGAUGCAUUAAUAGAAAAGAAAGUGAAUGAAAAAGAUGUGCUGUGCUCAAUCAAUUAAUCCUUUUGCGUCUGCCACCAAAACUUAAGGUAGUUAGAAAUUUUUUAACUAGUCAAAAUACCAAUAUUUCCAAAAGCUUUAAGCUUAUGGGACAACCAGUUGCUCAACAUCGACCUUGAUAUCAGAACCAAUCCGGAUGAGGAGUCAGGUGUUCGAAUUCCAUCAUUCAAAAUUGCCUUAUAAUUCCCGCGCUUUCUUGGCAAGAAAAGGCAGUGGAGGCCUUUUAUUAACCAUAAGGGGUGGAUUAAUUGAUGGAUUAAAAUCUUUUGGCAGUCAUUAUUUUACUGGUUGGAAUUUCUUUAUGUUCUACUAUUAAUGAAUUUUCCUUGCCAUUUUUAAGUCUGUGAUAUAAGUGUUCAUAAUGGUGCGUUGUCGAUGUAGUUCUCUCCAGCGAAUCAUGUGUUGAUGCACAUAUUGAAAAAGAGGUAAAGAAUCUAAAUUUCCUGCUUCACAGUGUAGAUGAUAGAAUUUUUCAGUUUAAAACGUGAGGAGUUUUAGUUCACAUGCACUCUGUUUUCGUAGUAGUCUUAAGAUAUGUUGUCACUUGUCAGUGUUCUUGUAGUUCCCUUUUAAGACUACAUCUUGUCUAGUUGUCUUUGUACUCAAAAGUAUGUAGUUAGUGGCGAUAAAUGGAGUGCUUUUGUAUGUUACUUUUUAAUGAAUGAUGGAAAAAAUAAUUCAUAAGCAUCUUAGCAUAACAUUUUCACUCAAUUAAUGCAUAUCAACAACGGUUUACUGAUGCUCUAUAUGUGACUCAUUUCCAGGAAGCCUUUAUCAGGUAUGCUUAACUCAUUGAAAACUUAUUAUUUUUCAUGUUUGGGCCAUCACAACAUUGACAUUGUUGAUGCUGUUCGUGUCUUUCUCACUGUACAUAAGAAUGUAAACUCUUUUUGGAAGGUAUAAGAUCAAGAUUCUGUUUGAAAUCUUUACCAUCAGCUUGCUUUUCAUUUGGUGGAUACUACUAUCGAUAAUGUCAUUUUUGUCAUCACAAACAUAACGCCUACUCUUCAUCUGUACAAAUCACCAUAAAUUUAAAAGAAGAAUAGACAUUAAUAAAUUUUUGGAGCAACAAAAGUGUAUAUUAACUAAUCUUCAUAUUUUUAAUAAUAAAAAAUAAUUUUUGACCCUUAGCAGCUGCUUCAACUUGAAGUUGACCUUCCCAACAUUUCCAACUGACAUUUUGUCCAUCGAUUGUUACAUUCAUCCUCAAAGCAUGCACUGAAGAAGGGAGGCUCAUACUCCACUGGCUGCAAGCCUGCAACAAUUAAGCUCAGGGAUUAUUAAAAAAAAACCACAAUUAAUUAAUUCCAAAUACAAAUGUAGAAACUUAAUUAAGACAUCAGAUAUCAGUUCUAUAAGGGGGUAUCAUCACAUCAUCAUAGUAGAGCGGCUUCACUGAUACAUUACGCUGUAACAAAUUAGGAAUAAUAGAUAUCUCAUUAGUUGAUAAUAAUGUGCCAUAAAUAAUAUUCAAUCAUGUGAAAAUACUUGAAAAAUUAAUCUUCAAAGUGCAAACUGAGACUAUAGCGAGUAUCACUACAGGCAUUUCCAAACCCUUAUUAUAUCUCGGACGCUUUUGCAAUUUACUAAGCAAUUUAGCAGGUGAGGUGCUGAAUGUAUAGUACAGAUGUGACAAGUUAAAUAAAUACAGUCUACACAAAAAUAGAAAGAUAAAUGAAAUUUAAUUAUUGAUGUUGAUUAAAUUAAAUGAAACUGCAUAUAAAGGAAGACAUGUUCCAAUGUCUGUAUAAUCCUCUCAAUAAAUAUCUCAAGAGUAAGAACAUAAAAAAAAAAGAGAAAAUAGAUAUGAAAAUAAAGCCUUAAUUACAGGAAUAUUCUUCAAUCAAAGGCCCUUCAUUUUCAUAAAGAAUUUUCCACACCGAAAAAACGAACUACAUUGCAUGCCUACCGAAAAAUUAAAUAAAAAUUGUUUUUAAUUUCGAAUAGCGAGCCCAAAUUUUCUAUUUCCAGAAGAAAUCUUAUGCUGUUGAAAAGUUUCAUAUUAGGAAUCAUUUACUGCUAGUGUCAGUGAAGUCUCCUUAGUGAUCUGCGGUUUCUUCACUCGUGAUCUACCAGACUUGAAACGAUAAUCAUAUAAUGAGAUAAGUAUUAACUGUUAAUUGAACUGUAGAAUCUCAAAAAUGAGUAAACGGAUUACAAAUUAAUUAUGACGAGUUUGUGUAUCCCUUGGAUUAAAAUAUCAAGAUUUAUUAGGUCUAUAUAAUUAAUUUGAUAUUUUAAUAUCUUCAAUUUGGUAUAUCAGAAUAUUAAGAUUUAUUGGGUCUUUAUCAAGAGCCGUCGCCAAUUGAUCAUUUCAUGGGGUUUGAUACAGCCACAGAACUAAGAUAAAAUUUCAUAGGUAGACUAUUACGGUUACUCCACCAUAAAACAAACGAUAUUUUGAAAAGAAAAUUAAGACUCUGGUAGUUAAUUUGCCUCGUAAUUAAUUAUUGCGGACAAACCAUCACAAAAAUUUUUCAAUUAUUAUUUACUUUUCCAUUUUCUUUAAGGGUGAGACUACUUACAUUUUAAAAAUUACUUUGAAUAUUUUUUAUUUUGAUAAAUUACUUUAUUACAAAAAUACUUAUCAUAUGAAUUACUAAUAAAGACUGUAUCUUUUAUAAACUAAUAUAAUAUUAUUACUCUGAACACUCAUAUAGCAUAGUCAAUAUUCAAUAUAUAAUUUCUUGCUAUAAAUUCUAAAAAUCUCAACCACAAUCUCUUAGAGAAUGUUUAAUUAAACAAGGGGCAAGUCAAUACUUAAAAUAUAUUUAGAACAUUUUUUGCUUUUUAUUUUUUUUUAAAAGUAUGUUUUCGUAGUCUUUUCCUUCUUCUUUUUUUUAGGGGGGGGGGGGGGGGGGGGAAGGGGACUAAAUGGCCCUUUUGUUAGGUUAAAAAGUUGGGGUGUGAAAAUCAAUAUUGUACAUAUUCUUUAAUAGACAAAAACUAAUAAUUAAAAUUUAUGUUAAAGAAUUUGUUUAGAACAAAAUUUGAUUCUAUUGUUGUACAUACUAAAUUGUUAUUAAUUCAUUUUGUACAAAUGCUCGUUUAGUCCCUAUAUUUUAACUUUAGUGCUUAUUUAAUACCUAUAUUUUAAAAAACGCCUCAAGAUACCUAUACUAUUAAAUAUGUUGUACUCUUUUCCUUACUUUUUCUUAGCUUUUACAAUAAUACCCAACAAUAUUUUUUACAUUAAUUGUUUAAUCUAUAAAAAAAGUUACUUAGCAAAUUAACUAAUAAUUAAACAUCAAUAUCAAACAAGCGGUACUUUUUAUACCCUUACAAGAAUCUUGCUGAUCAUUAUUUAUAAAUAAAUUAAUAAUAGCCAAUUUAAAGUAAUGUUUAAUAUCCUUUCAACAACAUUACCAAUAAUGUUUUGUUAAAAAAUUAAUUUACUAAAUUAAUCCUAAAUAUAAAAUAAUAGCAACUAAUUUUUAUUUUACUUUUAUGGCUAAUUUAAUAAAUUUAUUUUUUUCAUUAAUAUCUUUAAGAAUAUUGUUGCAAAGAUAUUAUUAUAAAAGUGAAGAACAAGCUCAAUUAAAAUAAAUAAUGCAAGCUAGUACUAAAUACCUAUUAUAAUUUUAGAAUAGUUUAUUAAAAUAAAAAGGGAAAAGGACAUCUACACAUGCAUUAUUUAUUAUGCAUUACUAAAUACCUAUUUAUUAUACUGUUAAACUUGAGCCGUUCAUCCGUUAUCUAUACAUGCAUUAUUUAUUAUGGUACCUCAGCAUCAUUUUAUCUCCAAGUGCAAAUGCUGAAAAUUAAUUAAGAGGUAAGUAAGGCAUCAGUUAAAUUUGCACCCUACUACCCUGUACUUUUUAUCAAUCAAUACACCUGGUGAGUCCCUAAAAUUUGCACCCUAACAACAACAGCUAGCCACAAUUAGUCAUGAACACCAAAAAGUCCGCGCAGGAUGUGUAAAAUGGACAUGUCUAUGACAUCAUUUUUAUAACUAUAAAAGUAAUAAAAUAUUCUCCUAAAUAUAUUAACCAAUGCGAUUUUGAUUAUUAAAAAAUAUAAUUUCAUUAAAAAUUCAUCGGUCUUACUAAAAUAUGUAAGAAACACGUAAAGUAAUGCACAUAACUUUUUUUUAUUUUUUUAAAGGAGGGGUGCAACAUGAGGACUUCUCAAGAGGUCACUCAUCUUAGUACUGUUCUCGCCCAAGCAUGCUUAACUGCAGAGUUCUGAUGGGAUCCCGUGCAUUAGUGAUGGUAUGGUCGCACCCAAGCAAUGGACAUAACCUUAAUUUUUCAAAUGUUCUUCAUUUUUUUUUAAUCCUUUUGGAUAUCGUGAGAUCUUUAAUAAGGUGGGAAUCAGAGGGGGCCAAGUUCGUUUGGACAGUCCUUCAAAAUAUACUUUUAACUAGUCAAGAAAAAGAUUAGGAGUUGUAAUAUUAACGAAAUUUUAGUAUUGAUAAAUAUGUACGACAGAUUAUUAAUACUAAAUUGAACUUAAAAUGUAUUUAUUAUUACUUUGAUUUUAUUAUAAUUCUAUUUAUUAUAAAACAAUAAACUGAAAUCAAUUUUUGUUCAGAGUCCAACAAUAAAAUAAUCGAAAGGGCCAUUUCCGAGACUAUUUUUUAAACAUUAAGGUCUAUGUCCAUAAUUAAAUAAAUUAUGGAAUAUAAAUAUCCUUUUCCUUCAUAAUUACCGCCAAAUUACUCCCAAUCUCCACGCGCAUUAAAUUUGGUUGGUAUGCUUUGAUCGUCGGUUCGUCUUCAUGUUUACAAUUAUUUACUUUUUGGACCACGUUUGGCACAUGCCGAAAUUGAAUCUUAGCCCUUAAUCUUACCGACUAAUUGUACGAUAAAACUUGAACCGUUGAUGCCUUAUCUAUACUUUGCAACGUCACAAUCACCCCCGUUUGGCACAUGCCGAAAUUGAAUCUUAGCCCUUAAUCUUGCCGGCUAAUUGUACUAGAGAACUUGAACCGUUGAUGCCUUAUCUAUACUCUGCAACGUCACAACUACCCACUUUGGCACCGUAGGCGACUUGAUCUCUAUAUAUCAUGCCAAAUCAGAAGCAAGAACUCGCUCAAGUACUUAUUUUUUAAUAUAGUGCACUCGAAGCUAGCAAAGAUCUUUUCUGACUUGAAGAAUAUGAAAACUCUUGCUGGCGCAGGUAUUUAGGCCUACUUCAGUUUCUUUUUUGAGAAGGGCCAACUUCAGUUGAAUAUCAUUUAUAAUUCUUUUUUUAAUAUAUGCAUUUAUGAAUAUAUUUUUCAAUAUAAAAUUUUUAGGUAUGAGCGAUCCGUCAGAAGGUUUGGUACUCCCUUCCAGUAUUGCUGAUGAUGAUGUUGGAAAUGACAAUCUUGAUCUUAUUGUUAUUCCUCAAUAUGGGAGAAAUCCUGAUUAUUAUGGGUAAGUGUCUGCAAUCUGGAUGAUGAUAUAUGUAAUUAAAUAAAAGGAUGGGUACAGUUAUUACCUAUCAAUCAUAAGAGUGUCAAUUUAGUUCAGUUCACUAAUAAAAAUCUCUUAUACAAGAGAUUAUCUUUGUUUGCGUUCAUGUACUUUGUCUUCUUUAAUUAAUAAAUAAAAUUAUUGUGUAUCAAUGUGUUGAUUAAAUUAGUACAUUAAUAGAUAUAAAAUCAUUUGAAUUUGUCCACAUAUUAGUUUAGUUAAUUGUGCUCUCUUUCUUCUUGAAUAUUUGUUAAACAAAGUCUACCUAUUAGUUAGCUAAAAAUUGCAGCUCGCAGGGAACCAAGAUCUUUAAAAUUAAUUACGAACGUUUAUGCUUCUUAAAUGGCUUGUGUCAUCGUGAUAAUGCCAUUACAACCAGUUAUAUAUAUAUAUAUAUAUAUAUAUAUAUAUAUAUAUAUAUAUAUAUAUAUAUAUAUAUAUAUAUAUAUAUAUAUGUAUGUAUGUAUAUAUUCAAAAGCAUUCCAACUCUAUGAACCUUCUAUUACACAAUUUUCAUAUGGUAUAAACAUCUAUUUUAAUUAGAGUAAAAUGUUGCUUGUUAGAAUGGCCCGUGAGUCAAUCUAAUUUGCGCUGGGACAAAUUAAUAGAACUUUAAAACUUUUCGACGGGUUUUGAUAAGACUUUAACUUGUCAAACCGUGGGUUGCUGUACGACGGGACUUGAAAAAAAACAUGUUGAGUUCUUUAUAAUUAAUGUUUAAAAUAUUUCAUUAAUUUUAGAGAAUAUUAAAAUAAAAAAUAAGUAAAUUCACGUUGAUCGAGAAAAAUACUGAAAUAUCGAUGCGUGUUUAGGACGAUAUAGAGGAUCUAUUUGAUCACAUUUAAUUCGCAUGCAACAGUAAUUCUGUCACAUUCUAUCACAGAUUCACGAAAGCUUCUCAUCAAAGUAUAGAAACAGAAAACUGUAAAAUUUAACGGGGGAAAACCUAUUAAACAAGAAAACAAAGCAGCCCCUCCGUACUGUGAAAUUACUUGCAAGCCAGUUGCGGUUGAGUUUGGGAAUGAGGGGCUGAGUUUGAGAUAAAUGGAGGGGAGAUAAGUUUGACUAAAAGGGGAUUCACAGGAAGACUUUAAGGGAGAAGAGACAAGUUUGAGAAAAAUUAGGAUAGAGAUUUAGAGGAGAUGAUUUGGGGUCUCAAAUUAACUAAUCCAUUCUUACAAUCACACAAACCGAUGGAAACCCAUUCAGAUUUUGAAAUAAUGAUGGUGACAUUAGUAGCUUAAGCCAAAACAUAAUUUAAAAAUAACAUAUAUAUAUAUAUAUAUAUAUAUAUAUAUAUAUAUAGUCAUUCUCUAGUGUAGGUAUCUUCAUUUAUUUUUCAUGCGAACACAUUUUAAAACCGCGGAGUUUAAGAGAGUUAGUUUUUAACUCUUUAAAACCGCAUAGUUUAAAAGUUUAUCCGUAUUAAAAAAAAUACGGGCGUCCGCACCUGAGAAUGAUUUUAUAUACACACACGUAUAAAGUAAUUUUUUAAUUGUGAAUUAUCAACCAUAUUAAAGUCAAGAGAAAGUUUAUAAAAAAAACCACCGACGCUAAUACAACGUAUUUUGUUGUGUAAUGUUUUGAAAUAUUCCUGCAAAUAAAUGGAUACUGAAAAUGAUCAUAUUAUUUUUAGUGAUUAAUGAUUCUUAUCGAGUAGAUUCUUGAUCUAUGAAAUGACUUACAUGAGCAUAUUCACCCUUUGGGAGUGGGAAACAAGUAAAAUUAUGUGUGCUAGAGGAGCCAAUAUCGAAGAGUUUAAGUCUAUGCUUCUCGUAAUCAAUUUCCAUAUCAAAACAAAAUGGAGUUGAUGAUAAUCUUGAUUUUACUAAAAAAAAAAAGGAAUAAUAGAUGUCUCAUUAGAAAAUAUUAAUGUGCCAUAUAUAUAAUAGUUCAAUCAUGUAAAAAUACUUGAAAAAUUAAUCUUGAGAAUGCAAAAUAAGAACUAUAGCAAGCACCUCUACAGGCAUAAAUUAAAAGAAUUGCAACGUGUACAUGAAGACUGCUAGACAUAGAAAAAAGUGAUAAAAAAAAAACUGAUAUAUGAUAAAGAGCAUAAUAGAGAUAGUUGUUAUUAGGGAUGGUAAAAUUCUCCAUGGGUUGGGGUUCUCUAGGGCUCCAUGAUACAAACUCUUAAAAUAAUUAAAAUUAUUUAUUUUAUUUUAUGGUAUUAGUUAAUUUUGAACUAGUCAAAAGUAGUUGCACUUAUUUUGUGGAAUUACAUGUAAGUAAUGGAGCAUUAUGUGAAAACAAGCCCAAUGUUACUAAUUUUUAGGUUGUAAUCUUAAAUAAGUGCGGCCCUACAUGUCUACACACCCCUUAUGUCCACCCAUUGCUUAGUGUGAGACUAUACGCUUCCAUGAUUUAAGGAAAUAAAUUUGUUAAAUGAUCAUCCAAGGUUCGAAAAGUUUUGGAUCUUGGAUGAUCAUUGAGCAAGUUAGUGACACCAUAUACUUUCAAAUCUUCUUUGUCAUGUAAGUUCCACAGACACCUUCCUACGUUUCUCAAAUCUAUCCUGAAACAUAUUAAAAAAAAAGAAAAAUUAGAUAUAAAGGAUUUUCGAACGUUGGAUGAUCGUUUAGCAACUUUGUGAUACCAUAUCUUUUUUAAUCUUCUUUGUCUUGUAAGUCCAAUAGACACCAUCCUGUAUUUCUCAAAUCUAUCCUAAAAUAUAUAUAAAAAGGAAAUAACAUUGCACAGAUAACGUUGGCAUAAACAUGUGCAUGUCCGCCCACCGCUUUUGUCCGCCCACAACAUGUCCACCAACAUAUGCACAGUCCAGCAUGCCCCACAUGUCCACCCACCGCUAAGUGUGGGGCUCUAGGCUUCCAUGAUUUAAGGAAAUAACAUUGUAUAAAUAAAUAAUGUUGACACAAACAUGUGCAUCUCCGCAUGUCCACCCAAAUAUAUACGGUUGCGCAUGUCCACCCACCUCUUAUGUCCACCUAUCGCUUAGUUUGGGGCUUCGGGCUUCCAUAAUUUAAGGAAAUAAUUAUAACAAGUUUAAUUAUAGGCAAUAUACAUGUGUGUUAAUGUAUAUAGACAACAUGUACUUCUAAAGUGACAACAUGUACUUCUAAAUUUAUUUCCUGACAUUCCCUUUUCCCUACCCAUUUUACCAGCCAUUUGAGUUUCAGCAGCAUUUUGGUCAGGUAUAUUUUCUUGAUGGACAGCAUCCCUCCUUGCAUCGACAUCCUCCAUGGAGAUCCAUGUAUCAAAACGAGGUUGAAUUUUAGGCAAUAUAUAUAUGUGUGUGUGUUAACGUUUGAGGAGUAUCAAUACCUCCUUGAUAUUCCAUUGAGGGCUGAUUGUCAAGAGGCAGCGGUGUUGGCUGAGAUUGAUCUUGAAAAUGAACAUCAUCAGGCUGGGGUGAUGGCAGGGGUGUUUCAAGAAAUUGAUCUUGGAAAGGAACAUAAAAAACUAGGGCAGAUGUACCCACCAUGUUCCCUGAUAAAAGAGAGAAGAAUAGAAUAAAAGAAAUUAAUAUCCUGAAGGAAAAGUAAAUUGCCACCCUUUGAGGUGUAUCAAAAUGAGAUUGAGGUGCAUCAAUACCACCUUGAUCUUCCAUUGAGGGCUGAUUGUCAACAGGCGGGGGUGUUGACUGGGGUGUUUCAAGAGAUUGAUCUUGAAAAUGAUCAUAAAAAAAUGGGGAAGGUGGUAUCACCAUGUUCCCUGAUAAAAGAGAGAAGAAUAGAACAAAAUAAAUUAAUAUCUUGAAGGAAAUUGGUGCAACAAAGCAAAAAGCAUAAUCUAAUUCCAAAAAUUAGCUUAAACAAUUGGGUUAAGUAUAUCACCAUCAUCCUCAUAUUGAUUUUGGUACAAACUCCCAUCAGCCUCCGCUGCCAUUUGCUCCUCCAUUGGCUCAUUAGCUUUCAGAGACACUUCAAGCAUAAAAGGAAAAAAGGAAAUUGAAGAAAUUUAUUUCCAAAAUCAGUACAACCUGAACAAUCCAAAAUGAGAUAUAAAAGCAUAAUAUCAUUUCAAAAAAUCAGUAAGGUUCAUGCCUACAGUCAACAGAGUUCCAGUAAGAUAAAACAAAUCAGUAAGAUAUAAAAGUCAUGAAUGUGCUUCAUGCCUACGGUCAACUGAGUUCCAGUAAGAAUAUGAAUAAUGAUUUGCUGUAUUUAGCUGAUUUUGUUUAAGCUGAUUUUGUCUUUGUUUUCUCCGUUUGCUGGCUUGCUGCAUUUUUUUCUUAUUUGUGUGAUUUCAAUUUUGUAUUGCAACUUGAAAAUGACAUGGAUUCAUCUGAUUUGUUUAAGCAAAUUUGAUCCCAAUUUCCAUAUGAUUACCGAUCCGAAUCCAAAUUAAUCCGAACUAUUCAUCCGAUCCGAAUCCGAUCCGAAUGUUUUGAAUUCGGAUGACUUUUCUACCAAUCCGAAUAAUCUGAAAUCCGACAGGACUGAUCCGAAUCCGAUCCGUAUCCAAAUUUGCCCACCCCCACAAGUUUUUACCCCCUAUUAACUUAUAAUUUUUGUCAAAGAAAACAAAACAAGUGAAAAAAAUCACUGUUUCACAGCCCACACCAUGAAGUUGAUCUGAAACUGAACCUUAUAAGUCUUCAAAUGCAGCACACAACAAUGCAGAUUAGUAAAAGUGGAGAGGAAUUGAUUGAGAGCUAUAUUUCAAGGAUACUUACAAUUCACUACAUGCAUACAGAUUUAAACAACAAAAAUCAAAGAAAAGAAAAAGUAUUCUAACAAGGUGCACGUGUCUCUAAUUUUUUUAAGUCUAGCUACAGUUUCUUUUGCAUUGAAAUAAAAAGUAUUUCAAAAAAUCAGUAUUACUUGGAAUAAUAAUAGGCAGAAAGUAUUAUAAGGUACCUUCAGGGUCUCCGACCAAGUAAAGUUUUCUGUCAACCCAAAGAGAUACCAAAGGCACAUAUUUGGGAUGCUUGCUCCAAUCUGAAUCUACUGGCUGUCUAUCCCUCCCCAUUGUAAAAGUGUAGGUUUUAUACCUAGGCACUUUACGAGCACUUUCAAAACCGAAUUGCUGGAGAGCGUUUUCCGGAUGAUGGUACGCAUAGUCUUUAAAAUGUAGCAUCACAGUUGUUGCACAACCAAUUUCCAGAUGAGCACCAUAAUUUUGAGGGAGAGACUUGUACCUGUUAUUAUAAGGCCUCCAGACAAUCUACAAGACGAGAGAACAAGUCAAGCACAAAAAGAAGCUUUUAAAGGAUAUAAAUAAAAAAACAGAGAUUAAAACUACUCAAUUAACCUCAGUUGUCUCAUUGAAAUGCCUCUUGUACUACUCCUUUGGCAGAUUGGCCUGAUGGUUGUGUAGGGGAGCCAAAACCGAUGUCCACUCCACAAGUAGGGGAAAUUUGGACGGAAGCGUGUAGUUGACAGAACAAAGAUAGGAUUCUCUUACAGCGGGAACCCUUUCAAACACAAAUAACUGUAAAAGAACUAAAAGAAAUUAGAUAUAUAUAAAAAAGAAAUAAUAUUGCACAAAUAACGUUGGCAUAAACAUAUGCAGCCUUGCAUGUCCACCCACAGCAUGUUCACCAACAUAUGCACAGUCCAGCAUGCCCCGCAUGUCCACCCACCGCUAAGUGUGGGGCCUAGGCUUCUGUGAUUUAAGGAAAUAACGUUGUAUAAAUAAAUAACAUUGACGCAAACAUGUGCAUUCCUGAAUGUCCACCCAAAUAUAUAUAGUCACGCAUGUCCACUUACCUCUUAUGUCCACCUAUCGCUUAGUGUGGGGCUCUGGGCUUCCAUAAUUUAAGGAAAUAACGUUGCACAAAAAGAACAUAAUUGAGUAUGGUAAAAUGCUAUGAGGAAAUAGAUGAUGGUGAUGCAUUAGGCAUGCCAAAUCUUUUUUUAAUACAAUUUUUUAAUGUAUUUUUAUUACUAGAAUCUCCCCCGUGUAUAUAUAAUAUUAGAGGUGUGAACAAUUGAACCAUAUUAGAAAGAAUUUGAUUUGGAUCGAUUCAUUCGACCGAAUCGUUUAAUCUGACUGGUGCCGACGCCCACAUGGCUGGAAUUUCCCCAGUAUACGAAUAAAUGGACCCAAUUCCCUUACAGCUUGGAGACCCGGAUGGUGAAUAAACUUUCAAUUUCCUUAUAAUGCAGCCAAUGAUGUGGGGCUUCGUAGUGACAAUGAAUGGAAAUUAGAUGAUGAAAUAGCUGCCUUCCUCGGUGAUUGUUGGGUUAGUAUAUUAAUUAUUAUUUUUCUUUCAUUUAUAUGAUUACCAAUUAUUUGUGUUUCGUUGUUUGAUCUAUUAUUUUGUUUGUAUUGAUUUGUAUUUUGUUUGUUCAGCGCGGACAAAUUGCAGUUCCAACUCUUUACCCAUUCAUUAGUCCUGAAGGAAACCACAUUAUACAAACGCAAAAUAAAAUACAAGUGAUUCACAGAAAACUUAUCUGCGCACGAUAUAAUGCUACCAAAAUUGUGCGAGUAUUGGUCCGACCAUCUAUUCGGCAUGCAUACUGAUUAGUGACAUAUUUCAGAGAUCAUUUGCGCGGGGAAGCUUCUCCAUUAUGGAUGGAUCCGCCAUCUUUCGAUCACUGUCACCGGGAGCACUGUCACGGGGUAAUUCGAGCUGCAGUUAAUGAAAGUUUAACCGCGUGAACUGGUUUUUCCUAUUCUCAAUGAUACUUGUGAUUGGUCUUCGUUUAAUUUCUUAAAAGAUUUUAGAAAGCAAAUAAUAUGCAGGUUUUGCCCCAUCCUACUAUAUAGGAAUUCGCAAUCUAAAAAAUCAUACCUUGACAAUCCGAGAAGACGAACAAUUGAAAUUAAUUAAGGCUUCGCAGAUCACGGUCCGUCACCACCACGCUUAUUAGAUCACGAUCCGUCACUAAUGAUCUUCCAGGUUAUGACUCAGGUUUGAUCUGCACUUGACGUGUGGGCGGCUUUAUCACUACUCAAAGCAACUAGCAGGAGAAAAUUUUUCUCUCCAAAUGAGAAAAAAAAACUUUUUCUCUGAUCUGUAUAAUGUGGCUUCUCUCUUCUUUUUGGGAGAAAAUAAGCUCUUUUAUAUCUUUAUCUCAGUGGAAACCAUAGGCUCCAUAUUUUUAUAUUUUUAAUUCUAUUAAAUCAAAUUUGAGUUAAAUUAAAAAUAAUAAAAUCAAAAGUAACGUUACUUUUUCUUGUCAUAGGGGCCCAUCUUAUAAAAUAACACUAGGCCCCUUAGACACAAUCACAUUAUAUGGAGCCUCCCACUAAAUAAUAUAUUUAGACUUUUAACCCAAAUAACUAGUUAUCUUGCUUAUUAAUCCAGUAGCCGCGCAGUCAAUUAAAUGAGUUAACCUGGGGAUCAUAUGGGUACAUACAAUAGUGGCUACAAUAAUUAGGCAUUUAAUUAAACUAGCCCAAUUAUUUAAUUCCAAAUCUACUCCACUAAAAAUUUGGAAUUGACCUCCAUAAUUGUAUGCUAUCCAUGAUAGUGUUCUCGAAUAAUAAUUCGACUCAUGCCACAUUGAUUUCUUUACUGCAUAAUUCUUUGUACCACAUCGUUAAUUAAAUCGAUAUCUCAACUGUCCAAUCGAUUUAAUUCCAUCUUGUUCCUUGAUACUUACUGGUUUUCUCUAAUGAUCAUUUUCAACAUACUAAAUAUGUAUUGUACAAAUUAUAUAUUGUUAAUCUAUAACUCCAAUAUUCAUAAUUGCUCCCACCAAAAUAACCGGUAAUAUUGACUAUAAGUGUGUAUUGUGCCCAAUGGUAACUCAAAUGGAAUAACAAUUACAAUCAUGAAAUUAUAACUAACUCAAGAUUAAGAUUACAGUAAAAUCAAUGCCUAUGAGAUUUAAUAAGUCUGACAAUCAUUUCAAGAUUAAUUAAAUCUCAUAUGUGAUCCAGCUCAAUGUAGUCAAAUUACAUCAGUAAAUUCAUACAUGAUUAAGACAAAUCAUUCAAUGAAUUUACUACAGUCUAAACAUAAAUAGAGCGCCCAACUCUAUUUAUCAACUGCGAACUUAAUUUAUUUAAUCAUAAGAUAACUUGUAUUUAUGUUUUAUAUGAAUCCAUAUAAUGAUCACAUAAAUACAUAUAAUAUGAUUAAAUAGAUCUUAUUCAAUAUAUUUAUGCAAUUGAAAAUAUCUCAAAUAUUUUAUUAAUCAGAAAAUAAAUUAAUAUGCUUUAAAGAGCACAUAAUCCCAACAAUUAUUACUUGAACUUACUCCGCUAAAUUAAAUUUCCAGAAGUGCCCCUAACACCAUCCAUUAAAAUUUCCUUUAUUUGUUUGUACAAUUGUUUAUUUUGUGUACCACCUCUCACUUGUAUGAUUAAACUUGAACAGUUGAUCCAUUAUCUAUACAAUGCAUUAUUUGUUUAUUUCGCACUACAGUGUCGGCACUUGAUCUAUAUAUAUCAGAUCAAACUAGAAAUAAGCACUCUCAUAAAAGGAAGCAAGCCAAUACUAAAUACUUAAUAAAUUGUUUUAAAUAAAAAAAUUUAGAAUGGUAAGUGCUAAAUACUUGAAAAAAAUUAAUUAUGAGGUACAACAUCAGUCAAUAAAUUAGUAUUGUCACAUAAUCGUAGUAGAGGAGCUGAAAAUUUUAGUUAGAGCGGUGAUAUUUGUCCCCCUAUUUAUCUCAAUAGCCUCACAUUCUAAUUUAUUUCAUUAAAAAUUCCAAAAAUAUUUAUUUUUCUAGCUUUUUUUUCCCUAAAUAAUCUCGGCGUAACCAGGAAAAUUAUUGAAGAAUAGAAAGAAGAAUACAGCUAGCAACUCCGCCUGGGGGGGGUGGGGGGGGAACAAAAUGUGCCUUACAUCUGCACUGAACAGUCUGAAAAUCCAUGAUUCUACUCUUCAAGUUAUUCUUAAAUACUCUUUCUUCUACGACAAAAAUAAAACUCCAUAUUUACUUUGGAUUGAAAAAAAGGAAUAAAUAAAUAAAUCUUUACCAAAACAAGCAGUGCGCCUAAAGAGUAACGUUUGUAGAAAAUACUUCUCAUAGAGAAUUUUGCAUACUUAAACACGAACUAAAUUGCUUGCCUAAAGAGGAAAAAAAAUCAUAUCAAACUUUUGAUAUUAUGAGAAUAAUUGACUGUACAGCAGUAAAAGAACAAUUAAAGCCCCAGUAAAAAAAUUAACCUUCCUACUCUGGUACAAUUAUUAUUCGAUGGAGUUACUAUAUAUCAAAAUUCGAAGUCAGCAUUUUAACCAUCUUUUCACUUCUGCUUCACUCUCGUUUUGAGAGGUUGUUUAACUCUUCAUAGAUCUAGACGACAUGUUGGAAUAACUUGAAUAUAAUAGAAGAUCCAUAGUGUACAUAUUUAUAGAUGUGUAAUUUUAUUUAACAUUAUUAUGUCCAGUUCAAUUGUUUACAUUAUUAUAGCAAUUUAAUAGAAAGAUUUACUAAUCAUAUGUGACUACUUUUAAAACUCACAACACUUUUAAAAGGAAAUUUUACCAAGCGUUCAACUAAUUCAUUUUACAGCUGAUUAUUUCUACAAUACAGUUAAUAACAAUUAUUUUAAAAGUUAUAAUAUUAUCAAACUAACCCUUAAUAGGGCAGGAGUUUGCAUAAAUAUGUACAACAGAUUAUUAAUUUUAAAUUUAAUUUAAAGUGUGUUUAUUUGUUACAUAGAUUUAAGUAUUAUAUUUCUAUUUAUUAUAUAAUAUUAGUUUGAAGUCAAUUUUUGUAGGGUAAAUAAUGUCAAAAAGUAAAAUAGUUAGAAGGGUUAUCUGUGUAAAUAUCUUUUCUAAACAUUGAGAAUCUAUGUGUAUAUUCAAAUAAACUAUAGAGCAAAAUUAUUAUUUUCUCUAUGAAUUAUGACCAAACUACUCUCAGUCUCCUCAUACAUCCAUUUUGGCCACAAAAACUCAUUUUACAGAUGAUAUUAAAAGAAUGUUUACAUCACUUGACUUCUUAUUUACAAUUAUUUAUUUCAUGGGCAGGGGCGGAUCUAGAACUUAAUAUUAUCUCGGGCUAAAUUUUAAAAUUUAUAUUUUGAAGUGAACAUAAAAAGUUAGUGUAUUUCAAGGUACGUUACAAAUGUCAUUUUUCUUAUUCUACCAAUUGAGUGAUACACACAGUUAAGCAAAUAGAAACUAAAAAUACCAUAAAACACUAGUUUAUUCGCCUACAUUGUGCACCAAUUAAAAUAAACCCCAAUAUCCUUGAAUAUUACAAGUCUAUGAAGAAGCAAUAUAUUGUUCUUGUAGAAAACAAUAUAUUAGAGAUAUGAUGCACAAAGCAUAUAUAAAAUAUGCAUAAUCUUAUUUUUUGGAAACAGGGGUGUAGGGUGAUUGAAUUAAUGUCCAAAAUCCAAAUGGCCUAAACAUGACCCUUGUCUAUGUAUACAUGUACAAAAUAAUUUUUCAAUAGGAUCCUUACCAUAGUAAAGUAAGGACAAGAUAAAAGACCAAAAAAAAAAAAAAAGACUCUAAUAUAAUGUACUUUGUCAUGUAGUGUUUUGAAACCCUCAAAUAUUGUUUAUCAAUUGUUAUGUAAUUGCAAGUAAAUAUAUGGAUACCGAAAAUGAUCAUAGUAGUUUUAAUGAUUACAUGAGCAUAUUCACCCUUUGGGCGUGGGAAUCAAGUUAGAUUAUGUGUGCUAGAGGAGCCAACGUUAGGGAGUUAAGUCUGUGCUUCUCUUAGUCAAUCUCCAUAUCAAAAGAAAAUGGAGUUUAUAAUCUUGUUUUUACUAACCUCGUUAGUACUACUUUAUGAACAAGUUUAUGAUAGACAUUGGACAAAUCUCAAACCUCUAGUGUUUGGUUUUAAGGCCGUCAGCUUUAUGUACUUUCCAUACUAUGACCAUUGUCGAAUCUUUAACAACUUUUUAGAUUUGUAAGUACUUUUUUAUGUUUAGGUAGAAGUUUCAAAACAGGAAGUCUGGCACCAUAGCACGCCUAGGCCUUCAAUUAUUAACUUCAGCAGAAGGGUUGAGGAGGAGGAAUUUUAUUACAGAUACAGAGCUCUAUCAAGAUCCGACCACAACAUUUUACAAGUAAUAUAUUCUCUAGGUUUCUUUUUUUGACAAGUUUUGUUCGAUCCCCUCUCAAGCUUCUAGGAAAUUGAAUUUCCUCUUUUAUUUACACUACAAACUAGGGUAUAGACAAUGCUGUUCAUGUCUUAUUUGUUGGCGGGUAUAAUGUCUGUGGCAAUUGGCCUAAGCUGAAGAAAAAAUUUAUAAAAGGAAGGCUAAUUGUCGCUUGCCAAAAGCUAAUUGAUGUACUUGUGGAAUUUAGUAUGAUAAGACGUUUAUAUCAAUUUUUUUCUCUUUUUUUCUUCUGAAUAGUGGCUUCUUUUGUACAGCCAAUGAAAUGGGAUGCAGUCUUGCUUGGGCGAUACAAAAGUGAUGUUUUUAUAUAUAAUCUAAUUGACAAAAUCAUUUCGACCGCUUAACUGCCUUGUGAUCAAUUUGUAUAUAAAUUGAAUACUAGAUUCCAUGAUAAAAAUUGAUAACUUAAACAUUAAAGGAUGUUCUUCGUGCUUGCUUUCCUACUUGGUUUUGUUGUGCGCAGAAUGCGGAAUCAAGCGCACUAAAUAAUUACAGAAAAAUAAAGGAUACAAAAAUUACGUGGUUCGGCAAUAUGCCUACAUCCACGGGAGCAAGAGAAAAAUAAUUGUAUUAUUAACAAUUAUUUGAGUACAAAUUUUAGUAAAGAAAUCUCACUUUCCCAUAAUUCAAAUACACCCAGUACUCUCACACACACUCUCCAAUUGCUCACACUCUCAGAACUCUCAAAAGCUUAGAAACUUAUAAGCUUAACAAAUUUUUUGGGAUGCAAAAACCUCUCUGAAUGAAGCUCUAUUUAUAGUUAAGCUUCACUGCAAAAAGUCUUAAAGUAGUUGGCAAAAGUCCUGCAAUUUGGUGCCGACUUGAAAAACAAAAGAAAUGCAUGUGGCUCACCUUUUCUUUUUCAACCAAUUUGAAUAAACUCACUGAAAAUCUUUGACUUUUGAACAGGUUUGGUUUUGCUAUCCAAUGUUCUUCCACGAAGGCGUUCGCCGAAGAACAACUAUAGCCUCAAUGUUUCGUGGUUGUUUCUAGCUUGAAUGUUUUUCCAACCCAAAGUUUUACAUUAUCUAAGAAAAGGCGUACGCAUAAGCAUUAUACGAUGAAGGCUGCUUGCUUAAUUUAUAUUGGAAAGAAAGACAACCAUGAUGAUUAGUCUGUCAUAAUGUUUAAUAUCAGAAACAGAGAAAAGAUUAUUUUGCUAAUAUGCAUUUUUCUUAGUUCUAAGACUAUCUAUCAAGAAAAUUGACUUCAUUAAGAUCGUUGCCUUUCAAAGAAUUCAGCAACUGUACAAAAAGCAACUUCGAACAGCCAUUAAAUGCUCUAUUGAAAAAUCAAUAUCAUAGGUCCGCAAGUUUAAUAUUUUCAUACCUGGCAACAGAGAAAAAGAAGGCCAUCAGGUUUCCUUCCCAAGAAUGAACUAUAUAUUAUUCUACUUAAAUGUGAAUUAAUUAGCAAGUUAUAACAGAAAAAAACAAAGAAAAGAUGCCAAAAUGUUGAAGACAGACUGAUAAACUAAAAGGAGACAAGUGGCAAUUAUUUCAUCCAUGUACAAGUAACUGAGAAAAAAACAUACAAUCCCAUCAGGGACAGCGGAGGCCAUCUCCACCAAGAGCUUUCCAUAAUUAAUUUAUAAACAUACAAUCUCAUCAGGCUUUAUGGCGAGUGAAGCUUCACGGCAGCUAAGCUGCAACCGAAACAUUGAACAGAAAAGGAAAAACAUAAAGAGAUCAAUGGAGAUUUUAGCAUAAAAAUUAACAGCUUGUGAAACAAAGAUGACAGCAUAACAAUAUGCACUAUUUUUACAUCAGAAGCCAUAGUAUUGCAUCAGCAGUGGAAGGCGACAACUAACUAAAGAAUGAUGAAACUCAUUUUUCAUAGCAAAAAUAAUGAUAUUGAAUCCAAGCACAAUAAAUAUUAUUAACUUCAGAUAAGCCAUCUAGCUAAAAUAGCAAAAUAAAUAUGUUAGCACUCUAAUAGCUCAAGAUACAGAGCUACCAAAGCACUGCCCAAGAUUUCUUGCUCACAAACUGCCUCAACUAUCAGCUUUAUGCCAGCUGAUAUACACUCCAGUUUACACAGAUUAAAAAGCCACGUGUAUAACGGCCUCAUAACAGAUUUGAUUCCCUUCUCACGUGCGUUUUCACGUGCUUUACUUAAACCAGCUUAAAACGAUCUUGGAUGAUGCCGUUUUAAACAGUAAGUUGAGCACAUGUUUAGCUCGUGACUUCUUGAGGCAUUUGAACCCAAUCUGAAACGCUUCCGUUUAAUCCUUCCAAGUUUUGUAUUUUGUAUUCAGCAGAUUAAUCCACAAAAUCAAAUCUGGAAACCGAACGAAGGCCAUUCAAAUUUUUUCGGAAGACCUUCAAAUUGAACAUUCUGGAGGCAGGGGAAGUAAAACACGUUCCAAAAUUUCGUACCUGUCUGUAAAACCUCCGUCAAAGUAUGAACAAAGUUUGCCCUAUAGCUUUUUCCAUCUUUGUUAUUUUUUACAAGACCAAAACUGGAUAACCGAGGGUUACCAUCCUGCCAUAAAAUGAAAAUUAAUUAAUGAACCUGUACAAUCAAAGGCAUAUGAACAUGCUGAAAAAUAAUAUGAAGCAGCCACAAGUUCCCUGACCUAUAUAUUUCUCCAGUAAUUAAAAUUAUUCUUAUAGAAGCAAUGAAAUGAUUAGCAGACUUUUACCUUUCAGUUUGCGUACAAGCCCCCUUGCCCAUGUAGUCAUCCUCAAUAUUUGCAUGUAGCCAUCCUCACUCUUUGCAUAAAUGUAUUGCAACUCCAGCAACGACGCUAAUCUUGUAAGAACACGAAUGUGUAGCAAUCAAUAGUCAACGCAACUAUUUAUUUCAAAACUCAUGCUUCCUAGAAGAUUUUUUUUUUUCCUUUUUUUUUAAAAAAACUUAAAUUAGCGGGAAAACUUGAGUCUAAAGAUAUAGGUAUUAGACACAUAAUAAAAUCAUGCAAAACCCAUGCUUCCUAAAAGAUUUUUUUUUUUUUUUUUAAGUAACGUGAUACUAACAAAGUCAGUGGCUUAAUAGAAAAAAUUCAAAAUCAACCCACAAAAAAUUCUUAUGCUUCCAUUAUUAACCCAACUGCUAUUCUUAACCCCAACAUUGUUCCUCGACCCCAAAAAUCAUUCGUGGAUGCUGUUUCUGGAUCUACAGCUAAACUGAUUCCAAUCAACCCGGUGUCUCUGGUCCGGGGAGAACCUGCAGUUAUUUUUUCAGCUGAAGAAAUUAAAUCCAUGGCAGAACCUUUCAAAAUGUCCCUAAUAGGUAAGUUCUCUUUUGGCCGACCUUCAAUGGAUAUUAUAAGAAAUUUUUUUGUUUCAUUGGAUUUAAAAGGCAACACCCAAAUUUCAUUACUAUAUCCUCGCCAUAUUUUAAUUAAAUUGCAACUUGAGGAAGAUUAUUCCCGAAUUUGGCUUAGAUAGGCAUGGUACAUUAAUGGAAAGUCCAUGCGCAUUUUUAAGCGGUCAACUUCUUUUAGAUGUUCUGAAGAGUCACCUGUAGUUCUUGUCUGGGUAUCUCUGCCUUAUCUCCCAUUGCAUUUUAUUCAUUGCAAGCCAGCUUUAUUCUCUAUUACUGCAGCCAUCGGUACUCCUCUGCGUGUUGAUCACGCCACAGCCUCAGUUAAUAGGUCAUCAGUUGCUAGAGUUUUGGUUGAGUACGAUGUUUCGCGGCCUUUAUUGCCGCGUAUUUAGAUUGGAGAGGGGGAAAUCGAAUUUUGGCAAGAUGUGGUUUUCGAGAGGGUUCCCAAAUAUUGUAGAUCGUGUAAACAUCUUGGCCACUCAGCUGAUACAUGUUAUGUUUCCAAUCCUGGGCUUCACAAGCCCCAACAGCCAGUUAGCGAGCCUCAUACUAAAGUAAUUAAGGAUAAGAGGAAAAUGCCAGUUUCUACUCAAGAAGUACAACCAUGGGCUCCUACUACAGCUCAGUAUGUGGUGGUUGAUAACAAGCGGCCACAAGGAUCCAAAAUUCAGACUAUAGUCAGCUCAGACCAGAAUAAUUUGGCUCAUACUGUUCCUCUCCCUACGCUCCAGGAUAUCGGAAUGGUUGCUGAUAGAAUUCCAUGUCCCCCAGUUACAGAUUGUGGUGGACCUUCAGAAGGACAGAGAGCUUGUGAGGUGCCUAUAGAUGACCAUUUACAAGUCGGUUUUAACUCCCAUUGCACCGAUAUUCCUGAUUUUGAUGAGAACGGUGAUGGCGGCUUAGGAAGAUCCCGAUUGGAUGGAGAUGCUGUUUCGGAUACAGAGUCUGGAUCUGGCGACGAGGGCCGCUUCUCGACUGACCCUGAUGAGGCUCACACUCCCUUAGCCCGGAUGCGGUGAUUGACAACUUUGAUGGCCAGCGGAUUACUACUCAUUCUAGGGAUUUUUCAUUAGUUACCGGUCGCAGACACCGUAAGACUCAGAGGCGGAUGCGGGAUUCCCCCAUCACCCCAUCAUGAUUCGCUCGCUUAUUUGGAACAUUAGGGGGAUCAGCAAGGCCCCCGCGGUCCGCAGAUUGCGGAAAUUGAUACGAUUGCACAGACUAUCUCUUAUUUGCAUUUUGGAGCCAUUUGUUUCGUCAGAUCAUUUGGAGGAGAUUCGAAUUCGUUUGGGAAUGGACCACGCUCUGUCUUUUCACUCAGGGAAGAUUUGGGUGUUUUGGUCAGCGUUUUUUUUUUGUGGAGCUGUUGCCGGGCAUGGGUCAGGUGAUUCAUUGCCAGGUUAGCCAUUCUCAUUUCUCUGACCCAGUGGUUAUUUCUUAUGUUUAUGCUAGCUGCCUUAUGUCUAUUCGAGAGGAUCUCUGGGAUGCCCUAGUGACAUACUUUCAUAGCCAUGAUCGCCCUUGGAUUGUUGGGGGGGACUUUAAUGUUGUUCAGUCUGUUUCGGAGAUUUCUGGUGGGCAUAACCAACCCCAGGGAGCUAUCGAUGCUUUCAACCUAACAUUGGUGGAUUGUGGGUUGGAGGAUGCUGGGUUCGUUGGUAGCCCAUAUACUUGGACUAAUGGACAUACUUGGAGGCGGCUUGAUCAUGUGGUCUAUAAUGCUCGUUGGUCUGAUUUUUUCUCAUCAUUUCGGGUUACUCACCUAAACCGUACAGCUUUGGACCAUUCUCCUCUGCUCUUUUCCUGUGACAAGGAUGCGACUAAGGGACCUCCCAGAUUUAAAUUUUUGCAUACUUGGCUCAUACAUUGGAAUUUUCCACACUGAAAAAACGAACAACAUUGCAUGCCUAACGAAAAAUUAAAUAAAAAUUGUUUCUAAUUUCGAAUAGCGAGCCCAAAUUUUCUAUUUCCAGAAGAAAUCUUAUGCUGUUUAAAAGUUUCAUAUUAGGAAUCAUUUACUGCUAGUGUCAGUGAAGUCUCCUCAGUGAUCUGCGGUUUCUUCACUCGUGAUCUACCAGACUUGAAACGAUAAUCAUAUAAUGAGAUAAGUAUUAACUGUUAAUUGAACUGUAGAAUCUAAAAAAUGAGUAAACGAAUUACAAAUUAAUUAUGACGAGUUUGUGUAUCCCUUGGAUUAAAAUACCAAGAUUUAUUAGGUCUAUAUAAUUAAUUUGAUAUUUUAAUAUCUUCAAUUUGGUAUAUCAGAAUAUUAAGAUUUAUUGGGUCUUUAUCAAGAGCCGUCGCCAAUCGAUCAUUUCAUGGGGUUUGAUACAGCCACAGAACUAAGAUAAAAUUUCAUUCGCAGACUAUUACGGUUCGUUCACCAUAAAACAAACGAUAUUUUGAAAAGAAAAUUAAGACUCUGGUAGUUAAUUUGUCUCGUAAUUAAUUAAUUAUUGCCGACAAACCAUCACAAAAAUUUUUCAAUUAUUAUUUACUUUUCCAUUUUCUUUAAGAGUGAGACUAUUUACAUUUUAAAAAUUACUUUGAAUAUUUUUUAUUUUGAUAAAUUAUUCUAUUACAAAAAUACCUAUCAUAUGAAUUACUAAUAAAGACUGUAUCUUUUAUAAACUAAUAUAAUAUUAUUACUCUGAACACUCAUAUAGCAUAGUCAAUAUUCAAUAUAUAAUUUCUUGCUAUAAAUUCUAAAAAUCUCAAUCACAAUCUCUUAGAGAAUGUUUAAUUAAACAAGGGGCAAGUCAAUACUUAAAUAUAUUUAGAACAUUUUUUGCUUUUUAAUUUUUUUUAAAAGUAUGUUUUCGUAGUCUUCUCCUUCUUCUUCUUUUUUUGGUGUGGUGGGGGGCGGGGGUUAAAUGGCCCUUUUGUUAGGUUAAAAAGUUGGGGUGUGAAAAUCAAUAUUGUACAUAUUCUUUAAUAGACAAAAACUAAUAACUAAAAUUUAUGUUAAAGAAUUUGUUUAGAACAAAAUUUUAUUCUAUUGUUGUACAUACUAAAUUGUUAUUAAUUCAUUUUGUACAAAAUGCUCGUUUAGUCUCCAUAUUUUAACUUUAGUGCUUAUUUAAUACCUAUAUUUUAAAAAACGCCUCAAGAUACCUAUACUAUUAAAUAUGUUGUACUCUUUUCCUUACUUUUUCUUAGCUUUUACAAUAAUACCCAACAAUAUUUUUUACAUUAAUUUUUUAAUCUAUAAAAAAAGUUAAUUAGCAAAUUAACUAAUAAUUAAACAUCAAUAUGAAACAAGCGGUAUUUUUUAUACCCUUACAAGAAUCUUGUUGAUCAUUAUUUAUAAAUAAAUUAAUAAUAGCCAAUUUAAAGCAAUGUUUAAUAUCCUUUCAACAACAUUACCAAUAAUUUUUUGUUAAAAAAUUAAUUUACUAAAUUAAUCCUAAAUAUAAAAUAAUAGCAACUAAUUUUUAUUUUACUUUUAUGGCUAAUUUAAUAAAUUUAUUUUUUUCAUUAAUAUCUUUAAGAAUAUUGUUGCAAAGAUAUUAUUAUAACAGUGAAGAACAAGCUCAAUUAAAAUAAAUAAUGCAAGCCAGUACUAAAUACCUAUUAUAAUUUUAGAAUAGUUUAUUAAAAUAAAAAGGGAAAAUGACAUCUACACCUCCAAAAUUUGGGACAAAUGUCACCAACACUCCCAAGUUUUCAUAAAGAGGUACCAAGACCCUCUUUUGACCAUAAUAUCCUUUACCUUUAUUAUCCCAAAAAGAUUGACUUUAAUGCUUUACAAUAAAUAGAAACAUAAAAUUAAAUAAAUGUAAUAAUAUAUACAUUUUAAAAUAAUAUCUAAAAAAUAUUUUAAUAUUUUACAAACCAUUAGAUAUAUUUUAUCAUAUUAAACUUAAUAGUCUAAUAAAUAGAAUCAUGAUAUUAAAAUAAAUGUAUUAAAAUCUAAAUUAGUUUAAAUAUUAUGUAAAAUAAUAAUUUUAACAUUGUUAGUAUGUGAUAUUUUUUUUUUGUAAAAUGUAUUUAACGCAAAUAUUCAUUUAAAAACUCUACAAUAAAUAAACAUAUAUUAUUAAAAUAAAUAUAAUAAUUUCAGUAUUAAAAUUUAUUAACAUAUUAAAAUUUUUAAUAUUUUAAUAUUAUUAGUCUACCGCAUAGAUUACAUUAUUUAUUAAAAAAAUUAAUGUUGAUUUUUUGAGAUAAUAGAAACAAAUAAUAUAAUGGUAAAAAAAAAGUCUUGUUGUCCCUCUUUUAAAAUUUAGAAAUAUUAGUAAUUAUUUUUCUAAACUUUGCAUGCGUAAAUAUCCUCUUUGCAAAUAAAAAAUUUAGAAUGUUCAGUACUAAAUAUAAUUACAAAUGCAAAAAAUUGAUUAUGAGGUACAGCAUUAGUUUCUCGCAAUUAACAAAUAUGGUAUCAUUGUAAAAAGGGAAAAUGGUUUUCACAAGAACACAAAAUUUUGCGUAUAGAAGCCGCCUGUUCAUACGUGCAAACACCACACGCACGCAACAUAUCAAGUAGAAAUCUCACGCGUCUUCCUCAUCAAGCAUCAAGAUUCUCGAUCUGUCUCUCCCGUCUCCACGCAAGGUCGGUCUCAGCUUCGUUCUCCGUCACCACGCAGCAACAGUAAGAGGUCUCAGAGGUCUCUCUUGCUCCCUCACUCUCCCUCACUCUCGCAGCCUCGCUGUCUCUCCAUCACCUUCCGGCGCAGUCCGGCGAAGUCCGGCAACUUUCCGGCGAAGUCCGGCAUGUUCCGGCGACCUUCCGGCGAAGCCGACGGUGGUCCAGCGAGGUCCGGUGGUAAUUCCGUCGACAUUCCAGCAAUAUCUACGGUGGUCCGGCGAGAUCCGGUGGUGUUCCGGCGACUUUCCGGUGGAAGACCAUUUAUAAUAUUAAAUCAAUAAAAUAAAAUAAUAAUUAUUAAUAGUUUUAAAUAAGUUAAAAAAUUAAAGGAUAAUUUUAAAAAUUUUAGUUUUUAAUAUAAGAGGAAUUUAAAUUUUUCAUUAAUUAAUAUAAGAGAAAAUUAAAUUUUGUUUUUUUUUUAAAUUUUAGUUUAACAAUAUAAAUUUUUUUAUCUUUAAAUAGAUAAAUUAAUUGAAUUUUAGAUAUCCAUCAAAUAUUCAUACCCAUCUAAUAUCUAAUUGGAUAUUUUUAAAAAUAUCAAUAUCCAUAUUUAAAAAAAUUUUAAAUAGAUAUUAUUCAAUCUAAUUAGAUUAGAUAUAUGGAUAUCUCAUUUGAAUGGAUCAAUUUACCAUCCCUAUUAGAGAUUCAUCCAGAUCCAGGCACGCAACAGACAAAUGAAAUGAUAUUUUGAAAAGAAAAUUAAUUUGUCUUGUAAUUAAUUAUUGCCGGCAAACUUUAUCUCAAAUCGCACACUUCUUUUCAAUAUUAUCUACUUUUCUAGACUCUACGAUUACUGUCUACAUUUUUCAAUGAAUUAUUGCUCGGUAACUAGUUUUUUUACAAUCAUUUAUUUAGCGGACCAGACAGUGUUUCGGACUAAUUGCAAUCAUUUAACUAUAUAUGGCCGUUAAUCGUACCCAGCCAUUGCGCGAAAAAACAUCAGCCGUUGAUCGUUUAUCUGCACCAUUUUAUAAGAUUUAUAAUAUUUUACUUAUAAAUCAUGAUCUUUAUGGAUUUCUCCACUGAAUGGAGAUGUUUGUGAUUUAUUUGUCAAUUUAAAAGUUUCAACAGUAUCUCAAUGUUGUGCAUUUCAGUUAAUUGGUUAAGGUAAUCUAGUGUAUUUUCAUGAUUUUUAUUCCUAAAUUCAUCAUUACACAUUAUUUCAACAACCUAUCUACUUUGGGGUGUCAAGACCUCGUAGGAAUAAGUGAUCAAUCGCCAAGUUUCAAAAACAUGUUGUGGACAUAUGUUAAGCAAUUCUUUAAACCUGUCCCAAUAUUGGUAUAAUGUUUCUCCAUUUUUUUUUAGUGAAAGAAGUGAUUUGCCUUUUAAAAUAAUUGGUUUUAUGAGAUGGAAAGAAAAUUUUCAAAAGUUGUUCUUGCAUGUUAUUCCAAGUUCUUAUUGAUCAUAUCUAAGGUUUUGUAUCCAAGUUUUAGCUUUAUCUUUUAAUGAAAAAGGAAAAAGGUUUAACCUAAUUAUGUUCAUGCUAUAAUUAGCAAAUUAACUAAUAAUUAAACAUCAAUAUGAAACAAGCGGUAUUUUUUAUACCCUUACAAGAAUCUUGCUGAUCAUUAUUUAUAAAUAAAUUAAUAAUAGCCAAUUUAAAGUAAUGUUUAAUAUCCUUUCAACAACAUUACCAAUAAUUUUUUGUUAAAAAAUUAAUUUACUAAAUUAAUCCUAAAUAUAAAAUAAUAGCAACUAAUUUUUAUUUUACUUUUAUGGCUAAUUUAAUAAAUUUAUUUUUUCAUUAAUAUCUUUAAGAAUAUUGUUGCAAAGAUAUUAUUAUAACAGUGAAGAACAAGCUCAAUUAAAAUAAAUAAUGCAAGCCAGUACUAAAUACCUAUUAUAAUUUUAGAAUAGUUUAUUAAAAUAAAAAGGGAAAAUGACAUUUACACCUCCAAAAUUUGGGAAAAAUGUCACCAACACUCCCAAGUUUUCAUAAAGAGGAACCAAGACCCUCUUUUGACCAUAAUAUCCUUUACCUUUAUUAUCCCAAAAAGAUUGACUCUAAUGCUUUACAAUAAAUAGAAACAUAAAAUUAAAUAAAUGUAAUAAUAUAUACAUUUUAAAAUAAUAUCUAAAAAAUAUUUUAAUAUUUUACAAACCAUUAGAUAUAUUUUAUCAUAUUAAACUUAAUAGUCUAAUAAAUAGAAUCAUGAUAUUAAAAUAAAUGUAUUAAAAUCUAAAUUAGUUUAAAUAUUAUGUAAAAUAAUAAUUUUAACAUUGUUAGUAUGUGAUUUUUUUUAUUUGUAAAAUGUAUUUAACGCAAAUAUUCAUUUAAAAACUCUACAAUAAAUAAACAUAUAUUAUUAAAAUAAAUAUAAUAAUUUCAGUAUUAAAAUAUUAAAAUUUUUAAUAUUUAAUAUUAUUAGUCUACCGCAUAGAUUACAUUAUUUAGAUAUAUUUUUAUUUAUUAAAAAAUUUAAUGUCGAUUUUUUGAGAUAAUAGAAACAAAUAAUAUAAUGGUAAAAAAAAUCUUGAUGUCGCUCUUUUAAAAUUUAGAGAUAUUAGUAAUUAUUUUUCUAAACUUUGCAUGCGUAAAUAUCCUUUUUGCAAAUAAAAAAUUUAGAAUGUUCAGUACUAAAUAUAAUUACAAAUGCAAAAAAUUAAUUAUGAGGUACAGCAUCAGUUUCUCGCAACGUCACAACUACUCACUUUGGCACCGUAGGCGACUUGAUCUCUAUAUAUCAUGCCAAAUCAGAAGCAAGAACUCGCUCAAGUACUUAUUUUUUAAUAUAGUGCACUCGAAGCUAGCAAAGAUCUUUUCUGACUUGAAGAAUAUGAAAACUCUUGCUGGCGCAGGUAUUUAGGCCUACUUCAGUUUCUUUUUUGAGAAGGGCCAACUUCAGUUGAAUAUCAUUUAUAAUUCUUUUUUUAAUAUAUGCAUUUAUGAAUAUAUUUUUCAAUAUAAAAUUUUUAGGUAUGAGCGAUCCGUCAGAAGGUUUGGGAACCCUUUUCAGUAUUGCUGAUGAUGAUGUUGGGAAUGACAAUCUUAAUCUUAUUGUUAUUCCUCAAUAUGGGAGAAAUCCUGAUUAUUAUGGGUAAGUGUCUGCAAUCUGGAUGAUGAUAUAUGUAAUUAAAUAAAAGGAUGGGUACAGUUAUUACCUAUCAAUCAUAAGAGUGUCAAUUUAGUUCAGUUCACUUAUAAAAAUCUCUUAUACAAGAGAUUAUCUUUGUUUGCGUUCAUGUACUUUGUCUUCUUUAAUUAAUAAAUAAAAUUAUUGUGUAUCAAUGUGUUGAUUAAAUUAGUCCAUUAAUAGAUAUAAAAUCAUUUGAAUUUGUCCACAUAUUAGUUUAGUUAAUUGAGCUCUCUUUCUUCUUGAAUAUUUGUUAAACAAAGUCUACCUAUUAGUUAGCUAAAAAUUGCAGCUCGCAGGGAACCAAGAUCUUUAUAAUUAAUUACGAACGUUUAUGCUUCUUAAAUGGCUUGUGUCAUCGUGAUAAUGCCAUUACAACCAGUUAUAUAUAUAUAUAUAUAUAUAUAUAUAUAUAUAUAUAUAUAUAUGUAUGUAUGUAUAUAUUCAAAAGCAUUCCAACUCUAUGAACCUUCUAUUACACAAUUUUCAUAUGGUAUAAACAUCUAUUUUAAUUAGAGUAAAAUGUUGCUUGUUAGAAUGGCCCGUGAGUCAAUCUAAUUUGCGCCGGGACAAAUUAAUAAAACUUUAAUGGGGUUUGAUCACUUAAUGGGGUUUGAUACAGCCACAAAAUUAAGAUAAAGUUUCAAAGACAUACUAUUACAGGUUCAUCCACCAUAAAACAAAUGAUAUUUUGAAAAGAAAAUUAAGACCCUAUUGGUUAAUUUGCCUCAUAGUUAAUUAUUGUCGACAAGACAUCGCAAACUUUCUUCAAUUAUUAUCAACUUUUCUAAAAAAAUCUUUAAUGAUAAAACUAUUUACACUCUAAAAAUGAUUCUUUAACACUUUUAUUUUAAUAAAUUAUUUUAUUAUAAAAAUACUCAUCAUAUGAAUUAUUGACAAAGAUUCUCUCUUAUAGGCUAAAAUAAUAUAAUUAUUCUGAAUACUCAUACAACAUACUCACUAUUCAAUAUAUAAUUUCUCUUGUCAUAAAUUCUAAAAAUCUUAUUUUCAAUCUCUUGAAUAAUGUUUAAUUAAACAAGGAGCAAAUCAAUCCUAAAAAUACAUUUUGAACAUAUUUUUUCUUGUUAAUUUAAAAAAAAGUAGUUUUUUUUUUUUAAAUAAGCGUUUAAUUCAGAAGAUG